rnacentral:lncRNA from 1 species
UUUUUUUUUUUUUUUUUUUUUUUUUUUUUUCUCAGUCCCAAGCUAUUCAAGUCUUUUGACGUGAACUCUGACAUUUUUAGAUGAAAGAGCCCAGUUACUCAACUCUUCACAGCUUCAGGACUAACUACUCAUAUAUAUAGUCACUUUUUGACGCGAAAGUCGACACUUGUGGUGAAGACUCCCGGUUACUGGGUGACGACACUAGCGGAGUAGGGUCAUUUAUUAAUCACAAUUAAAGCACCAGAAAACCAGAUAAUUAAAGAUCAUGGCCCACGUCAUCUCCUAAUAUGGAGAACUAAGAUCAACAAUUGCCUAAUCCACACAACAAUUGCUAGUAAAAUAUUUAUAUUGCCUAAACAAUUUAACCACAAUUUGCACCAAGUCAUUAAAUUCAUGAUAUUCACCAAGAUAACAUACGUUUACUUGCCAUCUAAACAAAAUUCAUAGGAUAAAUCAUAACCAGCAAUAGAAGAGUGAGUUGCCACAUUUAUUCAUCAAGACAACAAUAAGAAAAGCAAUAAUUUAAAGAAACUCCAAUCAAAUCCAAAUCUCCCCCACACUUAAAGUAUACAUUGCCCUCAAUGUAACAAAUAUAUAGUGAAUAAGAAGAUGAGCAACGAAACUCCCCUGAAUCGUCAAGACAUCGGUGGAUUAGCCCCUGGGGUUGAUCUGAGUCUCACCAUUUUCUCCAAAUAUCACUCCAAACCACAAUAGACAACAGUUUAAGUAAAUUUAAGUGUUAAAGGCACCUCCCAAUUGAACAAACAACUGUAACAAAUUACCCACAGUUAGAUACAAAGUACAGCAGUUUAAACACAAUAAGUAAAUCACACGACUAACCACAAGUCAAUCUACUAAAUAAAUAAAAAUCAAGCAAAGUAAAAAGAAACAAGCAAAGUAACACAGAAGUACCCAACUAAGGAGGAAUAGAAAUGUCAGGUAGUCCAAACACGCAAAAUUUUCAAAAACGUACUGUACUAAAAAUAAUAAAAACAUACUGCAAUAAUAAAUAAAAAAAUAAAAAAAAAUAAUAGAAAAAGAUUGAGACAGGCGCGUGCAUACGAAGCCAGUGGUGUGAUGAAGGUGGUGGCUGUGAGAGAGAAGAGUUUGCGGCAGCUGGAUCUGGUGGUGCGCGGCUUUCGGGGCUUCAGGCGGAUCUUGGAGGCGGCGGUGGCUAUGACAAGGGUGAAGGAGGUGAGAUGAGCUGGUGGUCACCCUUGGCGAGGAGAGCCGAGGCAGCGGUGAGAAGAGCUGGGGUGGGCGGCGCGCGAGCCAGUUGCCGCGACUGUCGUGGGUCAGCGGAGCUUCUGGCGGCGGCGAAUGAAGAAGAAAAGAAAGGGGGGAAAAAGGGCAAGCAGCGGGUAAGAAAAGAAGUAAGAAAGAAGAAAAGAAGGAAAGAAAGAAUACAAUUUUUUUUUUUUUUUUUUCGAGCAUUCCGGACAGAAUCCGGAUUUAUGGCUCAGAAAACGCGGCUCAAGAAAACGCGCCUCAAGGUGCGUUUUGUGAAUGUCGCGUUUUUUUCACAAAACUUGCAGCAUCGAAAACGCGACUACGUGAGAAAACGCGACUUUAAGUCGCGUAUUUGAAGGCGCGUUUUUGGUUUCUGAACAGGCUGGAAAACGCGACUUGGUAGAAAACGCGACUUCCUGUCGCGUUUUGAAGGCGCGUUUUCUUAAUUAUAGGCGCAGAUUUGAAAACGCGAUUCUAUGAAAACGCGAUUCAGUGGCGCGUUUUCUUGAAAAACGCGUUUUCUGCUGCAAAAUUUAGCAGAAAUUCAACUUUUGAAUAUUUACAAAUGAUACCCCAAUUUCCCAAAAUGCAUCAUAGAUCAUUUCUAUGUCAAAAUAAACCAUUCACGCAUAUGUAAAAUGAUCUAUACAUGCAUUCUAAACCUCUUUAAUGCAUCAAAAACCACAAUUACUGAAUUUGAGGUAUUGAGAUCUUUGAUCAAAUUUCGUCUUUUUUGCCUCAUUUGGUCACUUUUCCAAAACCUACAAAUGAAAAAUAACAAAAUUACUCAAACUUAUACUUUAAACAUAAAAUCACUCCAAAGUAAUAGCAACUUAAAAAAAAAUUGGGUUGCCUCCCAAAAGCGCCUUUCUUUAACGUCUUUGGCUAGACGGAGUCCAGAAUUUGCUUAAACUAAGCAAAUCGGGUCUUCCAGUUGCAUCAUCUCCACCCGUUCAAUUGGAAAUCCUUCAUAAUACGGCUUGAGACGAUGACCAUUCACCACAAAUUUCUUCUCCGUUUUCAAACUUUGGAUCUCUACUGCACCAUAAUGAAAGACAUUAGUCACAACAAAAGGGCCAAUCCAACGAGAACGUAAUUUACCUGGAAAUAGUUUCAAUUUGGAGUGGUAUAGUAAAACUUUUUGCCCACAGACGAAUGUCUUCCUAGAGAUCUGUUGGUCAUGAAAGAUCCGAUUCUUCUCCUUAUAGAUCACUGCAUUCUCGUAUGCUUCAUUUCGAAUUUCUUCCAACUCUAGUAAUUGUAACUUUCUUUGAAUUCCGCCUUCCUCGAUAUCCAUGUUGCAUUGUUUGACCGCCCAAAAUGCUCUAUGCUCAAACUCGACCGGGAGAUGACAUGGCUUUCCAAAUACCAAUCGGUAAGGGGACAUGCCAAUGGGUGUCUUGUAUGCCGUCCUAUAUGCCCAUAGUGCAUCAUCUAGUCUCACACUCCAAUCCUUCCUAUCGGGUCGGACCAUCUUUUCUAGAAUUGAUUUGAUCUCUCGGUUUGAUGCUUCCGCCUGACCAUUUGUUUGAGGAUGGUAGGAUGUAGAGACUUUGUGCAAGACACCAUAUCUCCUAAAAAUUGCAGCGAUCGUUUUGUUGCAGAAAUGAGUACCCCGAUCACUUACAAUUGCUCGCGGCAUCCCAAAGCGAACAAAAAUAUUAGACUUAACGAAUUCUGCAACCACUUUGGAAUCAUUAGUGCGGGUAGCCUUUGCUUCUACCCACUUCGAAACAUAAUCUACAGCAAGCAAUAUAUACAAAAAACCAAAGGACGAAGGAAAAGGACCCAUAAAAUCAAUGCCCCAAACGUCAAAAAUUUCAACAAAAAUCAUUGGGGUUUGAGUCAUUUGAUCCCUACGAGAGAUAUUACCCACUCUUUGACACUUAUCACAUGACUUACAAAAUGAGUAGGCAUCCUUGAAUAGAGUUGGCCAAUAGAAUCCACUCUCUAGCACCUUACGAGCCGUUCUCUUUGGUCCAAAGUGACCUCCACAUGCAAAAGAGUGACAAUAGGCUAGAAUAGAUUGAAAUUCAACUUCACUUACACAUCUACGGAUGAUUUGAUCAGCACCCCGCUUCCAGAGGUAAGGAUCAUCCCAAAUGUAGAACUUUGCAUCGCUCCUCAACUUGUCUCUCUUUGCCUUAGGCCAUCCUGUAGGAAAUUUGUCAGUGACUAGAAAAUUAACAAUAUCUGCAUACCAAGGCAAAGAUGAGUUAAUAGAAAAUAAAUGCUCCUCGGGGAAUGCUUCUCUCAAUGGGAUGUCAUCUUCGACGACUUGUACUCGACUCAAGUGAUCUGCUACCAGAUUCUCCGCCCCUUUCUUAUCUCGGAUCUCCAGGUUGAACUCCUGUAGCAAUAAUAUCCACCGUAUCAAUCGCGGUUUUGCCUCUUUUUUUGUCAACAAAUACCGCAAAGCUGCAUGAUCAGAAAAAAUAAUAACUUUAGCACCAAGUAAAUAAGACCGAAAUUUUUCUAAGGCAAAAACAACUGCUAAAAGCUCUUUUUCGGUGGUUGAAUAGUUCAAUUGAGCUCCGUUCAAGGCUCGAGAUGCGUAGUAGAUAGCAUGAGCUGCCUUUCCUACUCUUUGACCCAAUACCGCACCCACUGCAUAGUCGCUGGCGUCACACAUGAUCUCGAAUGGGAGGUUCCAGUCAGGGGGUUGGAUAAUAGGUGAGGUGAUCAAUAACUCCUUUAACUUAUUGAAUGCCCCCUUACAUGCUUCAUCAAAUUCGAAGGAUAUAUCUUUUUGCAAAAGUUGGAACAAGGGUGCUCCAAUUUUCGAGAAAUCCUUGAUGAACCUUCUAUAGAAACCUGCGUGACCCAAGAAAGAACGAACUUCCCGCACACUCGCGGGGUAAGGUAAAGUAGAUAUAACAUCUAUUUUUGCCUUAUCAACCUCAAUACCUGUAGAUGAUACAACAUGACCCAAAACUAUCCCGUGUUCAACCAUAAAAUGACAUUUUUCCCAAUUAAGCACGAGAUUAGUUUCUAUACACCUUACUAAGAUCAAUUUCAGGUUAUCUAGACAGUUUUCAAAACUUUCACCAUAUACACUGAAAUCGUCCAUGAAAACCUCAAUAAUUUUCUCAACAUAUUCUGAAAAAAUACUUACCAUGCAUCUUUGAAAGGUAGCAGGUGCAUUACAUAAUCCAAAUGGCAUCCUUCGGUAUGCAAAUGUUCCAAAUGGGCAGGUGAAAGUAGUCUUCUCUUGGUCCUCGGGUGCGAUGGCAAUUUGAAAAUAACCUGAAAAUCCAUCCAAAAAACAAUAGUAAGCUCGACCUGCUAAUCGCUCCACCAUCUGGUCAAUGAAAGGGAGGGGAAAAUGGUCCUUUUUCGUGACGGCAUUUAGCUUUCGGUAAUCGAUACACUGUCGCCAUCCGGUGGGCUUUCGAAUUGGUACGAGCUCACCCUCUUGGUUUGAUUCCACUGUCACCCCUGCCUUCUUCGGGACCACCUGUACUGGACUUACCCACGGGCUAUCUGAUAUUGCAAAUAUAAUUCCAACGUCCAGCAGUUUUAAAAUCUCUUUCUUUACGACUUCCAUCAUGAGAGGAUUUAAUCUCCGUUGAGCUUGCCGUACGGGUUUAGCAUUCUCCUCGAGUCGAAUUCGGUGCAUACACACCGCAGGGCUAAUUCCCUUGAUGUCGGCGAUGGUCCAUCCUAUCGCCUGGUUAUGUUCCCUAAGAACUCGAAGUAGUUUCUCUUCUUGCACCUUUGAUAAACCCGCGGAGAUGAUCACUGGAAGUGUCUCCCCUUCACCUAAGUAUACAUACUUUAGGUGUUUCGGCAGUGGUUUUAGUUCCAAGACAGGUGCCUGCACCACAGAUGGAAGUAACCUUUGGUGAGGUUCGGGUAUGAAAAUCGGUGCAAGAUCAUACCUUGUCUUCGUGGUUGGUAACGUUUGCAACGAUCCAAUCACGCAUUUAAGCUCUUCACUCAACUCUACCCUAGAAGUUGUUUCGGACUCAAAGUGCCUGGUCAGGACGACCUCUAGUUCAUCCCUGCCUUCAAUUUCAAAAACCUCCUGUAUAGCAGGGUCAAUAACAUUUAUCGAGAAAACAGAGCCAAUAUUUGAAUCGGAUGGAUAUUUCAUGGUCUCAAAGAUGUUAAAGUGAACAAUCUCACCAUCAAAUUCCAUAGACAAAGUACCCUUAUUAACAUCAAUUUUGGUUCGGGCUGUACUCAAAAAGGGUCUACCUAACAACACAGGUGACGGAUCACGGGAGUGUUCAUCCUCCAUGUCGAGCACAUAAAAAUCAGCUGGAAAAACCAAUUCAUUAAUUUUUACCAAAACAUCUUCAAUCAACCCGUCAGGGUAUGCAUUGGUCCUAUCAGCUAAUUGAAUUAUUAUCCCAGUCUCUUUCAAAGGGCCUAAGUUUAAGGAGGCAUAAAUGGACUUUGGCAUGACAUUAAUUGAGGCUCCCAGGUCUAACAUGGCCUUCCCAAUCAAAGUAUUACCUAUCCUACAAGGAAUAGUAAACAUACCUGGAUCUCCGCAUUUCGGUGGAAGCUUUCUUUGUAGAAUUGCUGAAACAUUCUCCCCAACUAUAACUCGUUCAUCCCCCUUCAACCGCUUGCGGUUGGCACACAGGUCCCUCAAAAAUUUUGCGUACCUGGGUACUUGUUUAAUCGCAUCCAGUAGGGGUAUGUUGAUCUCCACCUUGCGAAAAAUCUCCAGGACCUCUUUUUCCUUGUCUUGCUUCUUUGGUUUCUCUAACCUGCUAGGAAAGGGAGGUGGAUUAGUUUUAGCUGUAGGAAUUGGGUUCGAGGGUACCUUUGCAUUUUUGUUGUCUGUGCCCUCCUCUUCCAAUUCUUUCUCAAUCCGUUCCUCGUCCUUGUCUUUAGGAAUCACCGGUUCGGGUCCUUGAACUUCCUUGCCACUCCUUAAAGUCAUUGCACUUACAUUCUUUGGAUUUGCCUCAGGUUGAGAUGGCAAUUUUCCUUGAACUUGGGACUCCAAACGGUUGAUUGUUAUAGCCAUUUGAUUCAUUUGAUUUUGCAAUGAUUGCACCUGUCCCAGUUGAUUUCUCAUGCUUUGCAGGUCUGAAUCCGUCUUUUGUUGAUUAGCAAGUAAUUGCUUCAUCAUCUCUUCCAUGGACGGACUUGAGUUUGAAAGUGGUGGUGGGCGAUGAUGGUACUGCUGUUGGUGUCCUUGCUGUCUAUUUGGCACAAAGUUAGACUGCCUAUUUCCUCCAUAACUAAGGUUGGGGUGAUCCCUCCAACCAGGAUUGUAGGUACUUGAGUAUGGGUCGUACGGCUUUCUUGGCGCGGGCGCGUGGCCCGCCAUGUUCACCUGUUCAGCAGUUUUUUCUUGAACCAUUGGACACAUUUCCGUAGGAUGACCCACGGCAGUGCAUACCCCGCACGCUUUGACAUGUGAAGCACUCCCCACAGCUAAUUGUCUUACAAAAGAUGUUAAUUCGGAGAUCUGCUGUUGGAUAGAGGACGUUUCCACCUCAUUCACCCUACGCGUCGGGAUGUCCUCUCUUGAACCAAACUGCUGUGAGUUCUCAGCCAUCCCUUCAAUCAACUCCCAUGCUCCUCGAGGGGUUUUGUUCACUAACGCCCCUCCACUUGCAGCAUCGAUUAUGCUUCUGUCCCUGAAAAGCAACCCCUCAUAGAAAUAUUGAAUGAGCAGUUGCUCACUUAUCUGAUGCUGAGGGCAUUUGGUGCACAAUUUCUUAAACCUCUCCCAGUACUCAUAGAGUGACUCGCUUGGGUGUUGUUUGAUACCACAUAUCUCUUUCCUCAGGCUCGCAGCUCGAGACGCCGGAAAGUAUUUGUCCAGAAAUUUUUUCUUCAAUUGAUCCCACGUGGUGAUACUACCAGGCGGUAGGUAGUAGAGCCAGUCUUUUGCAGAGUCCUUCAAAGAGAAGGGGAAAGCCCUCAUCUUUAUUUGCUCUUCUGUAAUUCCCGGAGGCUUCAUACUGUUGCAAACGACGUCGAACUCUUGCAAGUGCUUGUAGGGCUCCUCACCUGGUAGACCAUGGAAAGAUGGCAAGAGAUGAAUUAGACCAGAUUUUAGUUCAAAGGGAGUGUCAUCAUUUAAAUGUGGAAAAUUAAUGCACAAGGGCUGCUGAUUUAAAUCAGGAGCAGCCAACUCCCUUAGUGUUCGUGCAUUUGCCAUAGUGACUUCCUCUUGGUCUGAAUCACUUGAAUUGUCACCAGACAAAUUUGUCGGCUCAACCUCUGGAUCAAGUUCCUGAGGUGCAAUAUCGUAUUGCUCCUCCCUGAGCCGCCUGGUUUCUUUUCUCGUUCUACGCGCGGUCUUCUCUACUUCAGGGUCGAAAAUUAAUUCGCCUGUACGAGAAGAGCGAGGCAUAAACUAGAAAAAUACCAGAAAAAAAAAUGAACUUAAAAAAGAAACAAAUGAUUAACGCCAGUCCCCGGCAACGGCGCCAAAAAUUGACAGGUGUCGAGCCUGUGCAAUAAUAAAUACCUACUCGAGAAAAAUGAAUUUUUCUGUGUAUAGUAGUGAGUAGGGUCGAAUCCACAGGGAUUGGGAAAAAUUCGAUUCUUUUCAAGUUCGGGACACGGGGGAUUUUUAUCAGAAAUAAACUAAAAAUUAAACAAUUUAACUAAAAAUAAUUAAUUAAUUAAUACAAAUUUAAAUAGCAAUCAAAUAAAUAAUAAGUAAAUUCUAGCCAAGGAUACAACUACGCAGACACAGUCCAUUCAUCUUAUCAUUGAUGCAAAGAAGGUUCACUUAAUUUUAUUAAUAGGCUAGUUAUAGUCGCCGAAAAACUCUAACGACCAGCUUUUCCUUAAUUUAUUGAUAACCAAGGUACGACCGUUGAUUACCUCUAACCAGGAAAUACUCCUAGGUACGACCGUAGGAAUUAAUUUCCUAAUUGCAUUAAAAACUAGAAAAGCCUAACCCAAAUUAAUAACACGCUACGAGGGUUAUUUAAAUCAGAUUGCAUAUUCUCCUAGUAUGUGAAAAUACUAGUUGUCACUAAUAUUAACCGACUAAACAAUUACGGAUUUAAUUGAUUAAUUUGACAGGAGAUUAAUAAGUCAAAUUGCACAUCGGGCCCUUGAUAUCCAACUAACAAAAUAAUCCCAUGGAAAUUAAAAUAGAAAACAUGCAAAUAUUAACAAAUUAAGGAACACGUAAAAUUAAUUAGAUCUCACAGAUAUUUGGGACUGCGUCUUCGCGUUGAUCCUUGACUAGAUGAGAAAAUUAGCCACGCCUCAUAAGAAAAUUCCCACGCAAUUUAAUUGAACUCAAAGACAUUUAUCUCUUACUAAUAAUUGAAAAUAAGAAUUGUAUUCUCUGUAGUCUAAUACAAUAAAAAUAGUUUCAUGGAAGAGACGGAAGAAAACAAGACACGCAAGAAAUCUUCACCCCAAAACUAAAACUUCUCUGCCUAGACGGAAGAGAAGAAGAAAAACUGACUCUGGCCAAAUGUGCGGCUUCCCCCAUAAAACACACCAAUUCCCCAAACUUCACUCUACGCUGACCAAAGAAAACAUUCCUUUCCCUACCUAAUCAACUCCACCGAAAACAAAAGCAAAGGCUACUUUCCACAAAGGCACCGUGAAUCAAGAAAGGAAAUGGUCUUUACACAAUGGUCAAGUCUUCGCGGUCCCCACCUAAUUGAGAUGUUGGCCAGCCAAAUUGAAUUCCCAAAUGCAAUUCCAUUCUUUCUCGUUGGUUUGCACCAGAAUUGUGUAAAGCUUCACAAUAAUCUUCUCAAGAGGUUUCUGCUCCAAUUUCUGAAAUUAUAUCCAAAUACCAAAUAUAAAUAUAUAUUGACAAUUAAAGCAAAUUAAAGCAAUAUUUGGCAAGGAUAAAAAGGAAUAUUAACAAUAAAAUUACUAACAAUUAACACCUUAUCAAGUUAUAUAAUUAUAAUAAUUAUUAUUUUAAAUAUAAUAAUAUAUAAUAAUAACUAUAUUUAAUUAGGGAUGGCAACGGGGCGGGGUUGGGGCGGGGGACCCCUCCCCGCCCCCCGCCCCGUUGCCUAUUAGUUCCCCCCGUCCCCCGCCCCGUCCCCCGCCUCCCGCUCCCCCCGCCCCGCCCCGCCUUGCCCCGCUUCCCCCGCGGGUGCCCCCGCGGGGUUAAUAAAAUUUUAUAUUGAGAAUAACGUAGAUUCCCAAAUCUUCAUGAUCAUUACCCCAAACACAUGAAUAAAUUGAGAAUUUUGGGUCAAGGAGCUUUUCCAAUCGGAAAUGGUAGUUCUGCUCAUAGGAUUUUGCAUCCCAGAGUUCGUGUUGAAGCUAACAACAUUUUGUCCAAGAAUCAAAUUUGUGACUUUGAUCAAAUAUUUUCAUGAUAGUAUCCAGUGCGAAUUCCUAGUUUUGAAGCUGCUUUAAGAGCUCAUAGCAAACUCCAAAGUUCCUGGAAAUAUGAGGCUGGCCCUCGAGUGAGAAGCCAAUCAGAGGCGAAUCAAUUGAUGAAUAUGCUUUGCAAGUAUGUGGUUUUGGUCCUGCUUUAACUCACUAAUUUUGAAAGGAUGAUGCAAUUUAAGAUUACUGGACUGUAGUAAAAGAACCUAGAACCCACCUAGAACAUUUACAAUGCGGUAAUGAUCGUACAAUCCUGUAACAAAAGAUCAUAGUGUAUUAGGCACAAGUAGCUAUGUAUCAUAUACCAAGCAGAUUGAUAAGGUUGUGGGUAAUCAAUUCUUUUCUGCUCAACUACUGCUUUGCUUGGCUUAUAUAUAAUUAUAUAUAUAUAUAUAUAUAUAUAUAUAUAUAUAUAUAUAUAUAUAUAUAUAUAUAUAUUUUUUUUUUUGUUUUGCGGGUGGCGGGGCGGGGGAUGGGGCGGGGGUAUACUCCCCCGCCCCCCGCCCCGUUUCUAAGCGGGGGGGAAAAAUUCCCCCCCGCCCCCGCCCCACCCCCCGCCCCAACCCCCGCCCCGAGAGCCCCCCGCGGGCACCCGCCCCCAUUGCCAUCCCUAUAUUUAAUAUGUAAUAUAUAUUAUAUUUAUAUAAAAUAUUAUUAUAAUUAAUAUUUGUAUAUAUUAUAUAUUUAUAUUAUAACAUUUGUAUAUUUAUAUUUAAUUAUUUAUAUAAUAUUUAAUUUAAUUAGUUACAAACUUAUAAUAAUAAUAUUAUUAUUUAUAUGUAUUAUAUAAUGUAUAUUAAUUUAUGUAAUAUAAUUAAUAUUAUCCAUUAUACUAAUAAUUAUACAUGUUUACUAAUAGAAAUUAUUAAUUAGUUAGACUAAAUUUACUAAUACAUUUAUACUAAUAUAUUUAAUUAGUGAAGAUUUCUUAUAUUCCAUUUACAAAGAGCCAAUAAUUAUCAUUUACGAUGGGGUUUAUAAUAUAUUUAUUAUAUUCCAUUCCGAAAGAGUCGACGAACCAAACAUCAACUAUAGUAAUGAUACACAUUCCAGGUACUUGAACCAAACAAAUGUAUUGGAAUGAAUGACCUCAUUCCAAACCCAAACUAUCCGAUUCCGAAUCCGAAUCCAAUACCGAUGUGCGAACCAAACGCCACCUUAAUGAAUCAAUCGUGGGUUUCUUUUACUUUCUAGAAACAAGAAAAAGCAUCGUUCCAGCGGCUAACCUCGAGAAGAAACGAAAGAGGGAGAAAAUGUGAAUUAGGAGAAAAGAAGCUAGAGAGAGAAUAACUUUAAAGUCUGAUUGGACGGGGAUUUGAAACUCAAUUGAAAUGAAACUUUAUUCACGCGAUCCUCUCGUCAAUCUUUACUCAUUUAUUGCUUUCAUCCGCCGAUUUCAUAGAUUUGAAGAAUUCUUUGUUAUUGCAAAAAUGUCGUGUAACUUCAGAAUCAACCCACUAACUAAAAUUAUUUUUUACCAAGUUGGUUUCAGAGAUCAUACCAAUCUGAUUUUUGCUUGCAUAGUUGUAUUGUUGGAAGAGUCUUACUUCUCCUUCUCCUUUUUGUUUAUAAGGAUUUUGCAUUCAAACUUGUAGUGUCCUUCCUUUUUGCAAUAGAAGCAUUUGUCUUUCUUCCUUUAUUUUUUAUUUUUUUGGUUGACUCUUUGAUUGUUGGCCUCUUUUGCUACCUUGAAAUUUGCUUGAUUAUUCCUUUCCAAUCACGUGUACUUUUGUAGUAGAGUGUUUAUUUUUUUCUAGAAUUUGAUUAUCUUUCUUUUACUAUGUGCGAAUUUCCUCUUCUAGAUGAAGAAACUUAUCAAGAGUUUUAAAAGAGAUUUUCUCUUUUUUAUGUUUGAGAUCUCUUUUAAAAUCUUUUCAAGAAAGUGAUAAUUUAUCUGUCAUGGAACACAUGGUUUCAUCCAUGUGUAAGUUAUGUUGAUUAUAAUGGUUAAGAAGCCUUUCAAGUUCAACAAAUUAUUCCGUAACAGGUUUAUUAUCUACAAUCUUGUAAUUAUUAAGAAACAUCUUACUUGUUGCGUCCUCACGCAUGUAUUUUGCCUCUAAUUGAUCCCAAAGUUCCUUUGCGAUUGUAAUGGUGUGGUAGACAUCAAACAGCCCGUCACUUAUAGCAUUGAAAAUAUGUCCAUGACAAAUUUUAUUAUCGUUCUCCCACUUUUGAUGCUUUCGAAUGCCAUCAAGAGUCCCUUCCUUAGAAUUGAUAAUGAGCGGUUUUGGAGUGAUUAAUACAUAAACCACUUGCAGGAUGUGAAAAGGAAAUGAACUCAUUUUUAUCAUCUUAUGAAGUUUCCUCCAUCAAAUUGAUCAAACAUCACAAUGUUGGUAGCUAAUUCGUUUCAUUAACUUGCCAUUGUUAUAUAGGAAGAAUAAAAUCUAAAGAUUAAUGGGGAUAAUAUAAUAGAGAAUGGCUAAAAGUUACAAAAUAAAUUAUGCAAAAAAAUUUCAAUCGUGACUCAAGAUCACUUUCCUUUAGACUUUAUUUGUCCAAAAUUUUAUAUGCAAAGAUUUUGGACAAAUAUCCUUUAGAAUAAUUUGAAGAGUGUUUGUAUUAAUUCUUGCACAAAGUUAGAUAAACUUACUUAAACUAUGGUGUGUUCUUGCAAAGAAUUCUAAUAGUAGGAAAAUGAUUUUCUACAGCAAACCAUCCCUACCAGACCUUUAUAGAGUUGAGACUUGAGAUUGGAAAUGAUCAAGAAUUGCAAUUUUUCACCACUAAUUUGUGUAUUAGUAUUGGUAAAAGAUUCCUUAACAUCAUUACAAGUGUUCAAAUAGUUUUUGAAUAUUUAAACAUCAUUUGGAUGAUAAUUAACUGUCAAAAACGUGAAGAGGUGUCAAAUAAACUUGAUCAAUUUUUGACCAUUGUAUGAACCAGGGAAGGAUGGGUCUUAUAUCGAAUCCUAAAACGGACUCGUCAUGCAAAUGAUCGAAUUUUGAAAAAUAUCUAAUAUAUCAUCAGUCCAAAACAUUCUGCAACUUACGAACCGCAUGCAAGAAAUUUUAUAUGAAUACAACUGAACUGCGCAUCUUCGAGGCAACCAUUAAAAAAGCUAAUUCUCUUCAAACCACCAUAAAAAAAAAAAAUAGACUCCGCUUAAUUCUUCUUAGAUUUGCCUUGCAUGAGUGAAUUCAUAUUGACCAUCUUCCGACGAGGGAAUGGUAUAUGACAUUAGAAAAAACUGAUUGUAUCUCAAUCGAAUGAAUGCGCACAGCGCAUCAUGCCUCUCAAAUCUUGGUGUUCAGUCUAGCAUUUGGAAAUUUUCAUUUUCCUGUCCCGAGUUUUACACAACAAUGUAAGAGAAUCAAACAAUCUGGCAAAACAAUUCGGCAUAAUUAAACAGCAGCUCAAUUGAGCUUGCCUUUGGAAAAUUAUACAUUACAACGAUAGAAGAAAAAGCCAGUCACUUAAUUUGCAAUCCAGGCGGCAUUUACAGAAAACCCUUUUGCUUGCAACACUGAAUUGCUGCAUCAAACAUGUCUUCAAUGCCAUACUUGAAUUUGAAUCCAGUGUCCAAGAGUUUCUUGGAUGACAGGCUACCAGAUUCUCCUGAUCCUGUAAUCUCCUUCAAGGAACUGUAAGGAACUGACUUCCCUUAGAUUUUCAUUUUAUCAGUAUGUAUUCAAAUAACAAUAAAACAAAAGAACUUACUCAGCAGUUGGUAUUGGAUAUUCAGGAUAUCUAGCCGACAGACGCUCAGCCAACUUAUCAACAGUAAUUUCAACAGCAGAACAUAUGUACCUCCCUUUGGCUUCAGGAUACUCAAACAGGAAGAUGUGUGCCCUGGCCACAUCAUCAGUAUGCACAAAAGAUGUUCUAUAAAGAUUCUUGUAGCUGUUUUUGUCUUGAUGACCUGCACAAUCAGAAAAGUUUCAGGGAAAUAGGAUCUGAAUUGAAACUUCUGAUGACUAGCAUUGUUAGACUUGAGACCAUUCUUUGCCUUCUUCAAGUUGAUGCAGAGGUUGUUGAUGAUAGCUAUUUCUGAGGCAGCUCUGCAAAUUAAUUAAGAAAGCAUUCUUCACUACUCGUGAAAUAUGUUUACCUAGUUACAUUUCUUGCAAACUUCAACCUAAAAUUCAUGUGCUAUCUGAAACUUUUCAAAUAAUGCAGACAAAUUCAAGUUAAGAAAUACUUAAUUUUGUCUUUCUGAUGCUUGCAAACUAAUUAAGAGAGAGUAACAGAAAGAAGUGAGUCAUGCUAUUCUGAUAAACAAAAGCUUACCAAUGAUCAUUGCCAUUGAGGAGCGUACAGAGCCAGGCAGAAAAGGGCAUACAAAGGGGCCAUGUAUCCAAGCUGGAAUUAUGCACACAAGAUCAAGCCCAUUUUUUUCUGCAAAUUCUAAGGCAGCCUUUUCUGUUAACGUCUUGCUGAUUGCAUAAGAAGCAAUCCCACUGCUGAAGCUCCUUCUAACAUGAUCUACAUCACUCCAGAUGCUUUCAUCCACUAUGCUUUCAUUCUCAUUAAUAGAAAUGACAGUGGAUAUACCGGAAGUAUAAACAACUCACUUCACUGUCUUUGAAUUAACGCAUGCUUGAAGAAUCCCAAUUGUUCCCCUGAUAGAUCUAUUGAUCUUUGUUUCCUCGGUUUCUUUGCCCUCAAAAUCCAUAGGGUGAGCAACAUGAAAGACUCCAAUGCAGCCUUCAAUUGCUGCAUUAAAGCUAUCUGGUUUAUCAAGAUCAGCAUUGAUAACUCGUAGUCUUUCUAAUGCACCAGGUAGUUCUGUGAGGUGGUUAAUGUUUUUCUUUGGAUCUGGCAGUGAGUUUCAAAUGUCAAUUUUUGAUAGUAACAGUCCGAUAACACUCAGAACUAGCACUCAGUCUACAAAUGGAGAUUAAAAAACUUUCAAAAUUCAACUUUUUGUCCCGUGAUGUUCAAUUGAGUAUUCUUGGAUAAGCUCAAACUUCACUCAUGUCGCAGCUUUGCUAAUAUAAGCCUUCCUUUAGCAUGUAUAGAAACAAAAUUGAAAAACCAUUUUUGUUUAAUCUGAUCUCAGAGAUCCAAUCUCAUAGAUGUGCUGUUGCAUGCAUAAAUUCUUACAGAGUUUAAGCAAGGAUAGGUUAUCAUGCAGCAUUGGUAGAAUUGUAGGCUACAUAUACACUACUGUUUUUGUGGGAAAGUGUAGCCUAAAUAUCUCAAACACAUUAUUAUUAUCUACCAAUAUUGGUUACAAGAUUCUUGUUUUUAAAUCCCUCCCACCCCACCUUCUCGACUUCCAUCUGCUUGGUUCAGGAUUUAAACCUUGGACUCGAAACUCCCUGACCUCGGUCUCAAUGGUUUUAAAAGACACCAAAAUCAUUCUGAAGUCAUAAAGUAUGGGACAUCUAUUUGCAUCCUUGAAAUAUAGCUACAUCUUGCUAGAACUAUCGCCCUGUCCCAGCUAUUGCUUAACGGGGGAAAACAUCAAUAAAACCAUCAAGGGGAACCUCAACGGAGAUCGGGUGCAUUUUUUUUUUCUUUCUUUUGGUGUCUUUCUUAUGGUAACUAAAAUUAACAGCACAUAUUGUAUGUCUAAUCAGAUGGUGUUUUGAUCCUGGGAGUACAUUUGUGGUUUUAUCAUAGCUUUGUUAUCAUGAAACAAUAACAUUACACAUAAAACAAAAAUGCUUCAAUAGUGUUUCUGUUUCACGAGAUUAGUUUGAGGGUUAUUUGCCAGACAGGAUAAGUACAUUUUGGAGCACAGAAAUUUUCAUAUUCACAUUCGAUCAUCAACAACCAAUUGUCUUAUACAGAUGAAAACAACGGCUAAAGAAUAGAAAAGAUUAUUAUCCAUUACCAUUACAAGUACAUGCAUGCUAACGUAAUCUUGGUUGGUUUUUACUUGGGGUGCUAGAAAAGAAGUGGAUUUCUGGCAUAAUCAGCAGGGUUCAAUUCUUAUAGUACUUGGUUCGUUUACUAAAAUGGCAAGUUGUAUAUAGUUGGCGAGGGAGGAAACGAUACAGACAGAAAUGGAAAAGUAGGAGAAGUAGAGAACUGAUUACUAGUAAAUUAACAAACAUGAAAACCUGAAGAGGACCUAAUUGUAGCGUUGACAGAAUAACCAUCUUCAAGAAGCCUUUUGAUCAACCAUGAUGCCAAAAAUCCAGUUCCACCUGUUACACAUACUCUCCCCUUCUCCAUCUUCUCCCCUUCCAUUAAUUUGUGUCCCUCUAGCCUUUAAUACCAGUAUAGUACUGUUUCGGCUCUUUGCAGUGGAUUGUCAGUUUAAACUUGAAGAAUUAAUGGAUAUAAUUGUUAGCCCUCAGUCAGGAAUCAACCACGUUCACUCGUUCGUUUAUUGUUGUCAGAUCGAUGUCAAAUAGUACUAAGAAUGCUAGUGGAAUUAAAAGUCAAAAUAGACAACUGUUCAUUGGUUAUAAUCUAUGUUUUCAGAACCGGACCGGGUAUCGAUUCGGUCAAACUCAGGGGUCAGGGAUCAAUGGAUUCAACCGACUUCGAUAGGGGUUGAACCGGAUAACGUCAUAAAUAAAAAUUAUUUAAAAAUUAAAAUAUUAUAUGUAAAAUACCUAAUAAUAUGUUAAUAUUAAUAAAGGUAUAUUUAUAUAUAUUUGAUAUUUUAAAUAUAUUUAACAAGAGAAUACAAAGAAAUUAGAACAAUCAAGUAACAAUUUAUAUUAUUUAAUGAGCAUUAACAAGUUUAGAAUUAAAAUUAUGUACUUAAUUGAAAAAUAAUACCAAACUUUAAGAAAAUAUUAAUAAAGUAUGAAAUAUUUGAGAUAUAUUAAUAAUUUUUAAUAAUCUAGGGGUCAAAACAUAAUAUUGAAAAAGUUUGAGUUUUUUUUUUAAAAAAAAACUGUUUGAACCGGAAAAUCUGAUUUUUUCCGGUCAAACCCGAUUUUUGAUCGGCUUUGACAGGGUUUUUACUUACCCAGUUUUUAAACAUGACUCGGACCGGACACUUGGCCGGUUCUCGAUUCGAUCGGUCGAACCGGCCGGUCCGGUCCGAGUUUUAAAACACAGGUUAUAAUGGUUGAAAGGUAAUGCUGCUGGUCCAAUAGACAUACCUAUUGGGAGCUGAACCAGCCUGGUAGGGCCAACAUGCCAAAUACUUUGUCAUUAGUACUCCAUCAUUUUAUUAGUCUUGAUUUCUAUUUUAACUUGUCCUAAAGUAUUUGUCACAAAUGCUAAAGGAAUAUCCAUAUAUGUGCAACUUAAGAAUAAAUUAAUUUUUAAGAUAAUUUUUUUUAAUGAAUUGAUAGUUAUUUUAGUAGUUAUGUCAAUUGGUAGUUAUCUUGUCUUGUGGUAAUUAAGGGUUAAUGGAUAAAGUUAACACCAAGUUAACUAUACAGACACUUUGGGUCUGUUUGGUUGGAAGUAAAAUAUUUUCCUUGGGAAAAUAUUUUACGUGGAAGUAAUUUUCCAUGAAAAUCAUUUCCCUUUCAUCAUUUUCAGGUGUUUAGUUAGUUUAUUGAAAAUAUUUUCUUACUUCAUUUUUCUGGUGUUUGUUUAACUUUUGAAAUAUUUUCACUUUUAUCUCUAUCUUUACUUUCUACACAUUAUAAUUACAUACUUCUUCCCAUGCAAAAUAAGAAAAUUUAUCUCAUUGUUUAACUUUAAAAAAUCUUGGAGAAAUGUAUAUAUGAAUAAAAAAUAUCUCCUUAAGCAAUAAACAAAUUGCUGGCCAUUUAGUGUCAAAUAUUAAUCACAUGCAAUGUUUAUUGUGACAUAUAUCUUGCACUCUCACUGCUGAAAGUUUCUCUAGAAAAGAAUGUUCCUAUUAUACAUAAUUAAUUACUAGCAUAGGAUGAGCAUGAUGAGGUUUUUUUUUUAUUUUGAAUAUACUAGGGGGAGGGUUGGAUUGGGUGGUACGGGGGAGGGAGUGUAAGGAAGAGGCCUUAGGUUCAAGUCCUCCUAUUUACACUAAAAAAAAAAAAGAACAUACUACAAGAUAUUUUCAGUAAGUUUGGAACAUACUACAGGCGGGAUGUAUGCAUUUCGGAAAACAAUUUCAGUAAGUUUCAAAGGGAAGUUGUUUUCCAUAAGAUGAGUGAAAAUAUUUUACAUAGGAAAAUGUUUUCAGUAACUUUUGUGCAACCAAACACGGAAAAUUAGGAAAAUAUUUUCCUGGAAAACAUUUUCACCCGAAACAAACGGACCCUCAAUGUAAAAUAUUUUCAACGGAAAAUGUCUUCCAUAGAAAAUUUUAUCUAGGAAAAUAAUUACUUUCUCCAUGUUUUUUCCAAUGUUUGGGAGGAGAUAAGACUACAAAUCUUUAGUGGGGUAUUGCACAAGUGGUAGGUUUUGUUCUGAAUCUUAAGGCUGGUGGGGGAACAUGAAUGGAUAGUCUUACGAUUUACGAGACGGAUAUGGAAAAUAACUUCAGUUCAUUUACAUGGGAAGUCAUUUUACAGCAUCUGAUGUAAAAUAUUUUCAGUAGGAAAAAAUUUUCCCAAAGCAAUAACCCAACCAAACAAUAGAAAAUCAGGAAAACAUUUUCUGGAAAAUAUUUUCUUUCCAAACAAACAGACCCUUUAUUUUUGUAAAGAUAGUAUUAAAAGGGAAAUGAAAAAAAGACUAAGCUCCCAACUCUACCUUUCAUUCAAUUUUCAAAAAGAGCAUUAAAAUUAUUUUUCAACAUUAGAUGCUCUAAUGAACUAACAUGAAAUUCAAAAAUUCAAAAAAAUAACUAACGAAAUUUGAAUUUAAAUUAAGGGAUAAUCAUGAAUUCAAAAUGCUUUGUAAUUAAGGGUUAAUGGAUAAAGUUAACACCAAGUUGACUAUACAGACACUUUAUUUUUGUAAAGAUAGUAUUAAAAGGGAAAUGAAAAAAAGACUAACCUCGCAUCUCUACCUUUCUUUCAAUUUUCAAAAAGAGCAUUAAAAUUAUUUUUCAACAUUAGAUGCUCUAAUGAACUAACAUGAAAUUCAAAAAUUCAAAAAAAUAACUAACGAAAUUUGAAUUUAAAUUAAGGGAUAAUCAUGAAUUCAAAAUGCUUUGUAAUUAGUACUCCCUCUGUUGGAUUUUAUUAGUCUUGAUUUCUAUUUAGAUUGUCUUAAAUUAUUUGUCACUAGUACUAAAGGCAAACCCAUGUAUGUGGAACUUAAGAAUAAAUUAAUUUUUAAGAUAAUUUUUUUUAAUGAAUUGAUAGUUAUGUCAUUUGGCAGUUUCUACCUGAAACAGUAAUAGAGUCCUAUUGCGUAGGGCACAAGAUAGGGAUGGUUGUUAGAUCAACGGUCCUGAACAAUUUUAUAUUUUUGAAACGUUUUAUAAUUCUAAAUGAGUUUCAUGCAGAAUAAUUGUGUUUUUAUUGUCAAAUUUUACAAGUAAUUUACAUAAAAUUACACGAUUUAAAAAAUAUUACACCGUUCAAAAUGACAACCGAUCACCCCCUGGGUAUAAUUGUUAGCCCUCAGUCAGGAAUCAACCACGUUCACUCAUUCAUUUACUGUUGUCAGAUUGAUGUCAAAUAGUACUAAGAUUGCUAGUGGAGUUAUUUUCCUGGGAAAAAAUUGUUAAUUAAAUGUGAUUUGUUGGGUGACAAAAAAAAUGACAUUAUUAAUUAGUUAUUAACAAUUAAUUGUCAAAAUUGAUAAUUAAAUGUGAUUUGUUGGACAACAAAAAAAAGGAGCCCAAAUUUUUGUUAAUGUGAUUUGUUGGGAAAAAAACAAUUAAUACAAAAAAUCGAUAAUUAAACAUAGUUUGUUAGGAGACAAAAAAUGAAAUUAUUAAUUAACUAUUAAUAAUGAUAUAUUGUUAAAAAUUGGUAGCUAAACAUGAUUUGUUAAACAAUAAAAAAAAGGGAGCCCAAUUUGUUGUCAACAAGAUUUAUUGUUGAAGAUAAAAGACCAAAUUUUAGCACCAUUCAUCUAAUCAAAACUCGCCACAUCACCAUUUUCAUAUGCAAUUAGGAGGACUACCACCAAUUGAUCAAUCACAAGGCGACACCUUAUCAAUUUAGAAUCAAUUGGAGGACUACCACUAAUUGACCAAUGAGGCAACACCAUCUCAGCAAUUGGAGGACUACCACUAAUUGACCAAUGAGGCAACACCAUCUCAGCAAUUGAACUCAAUUGGGAAGUCUCUCAUUCCCCAAUAGACUAGAUACGUUAAUAAAAGUGGUAAAUCAAGGAAAAUACUUGGGGUUACCAAUGGUCAUCACAAGAACCAAAGAUUAUGACUCUGUUUGAAUUAGCUGUUUUUGAAAGUGUUUUUGAAAUAUUUUACUGUAACAAUGUAUAUGGAAAACUUUUACUGCAGAUGUUUUUUGUGAUAUUUUUGGAGAUAUUUUUGGAAUAUAUUUUAGAGUAUUUUUAAAGUUUACAAAUUUUUAGGGUAUAUUCUAAAAAUUAACACUACUACUCAUCACCACCACCCCUCUCCCUUCUCAUCUUCCAUUUCUUUCUUCGUUCUCCUCCCUCUUCCUUUUCUCUCUCCCCUCUUCUCUUCCCCUUUCCCGCGAUACCCUGCUCCUUCAAUUUGGCUUUGAUGGGUGUGGCGGGAAAAAGGAGUGGAAGGGGAAGGGAGGAGGAAGAAAGGAGAAGGGGAAGAGAGGAGGAAGAGGGAGGGAGAGGAAAGAGGAGGAGGGAGAGGAUGGCGGCGAUGGUGGGUAGUGAUGAUCUUUUAAAGAAGAAGAUGAUGUAAAUUUUUAAAAUUUUUUUAUAUAUUUGGAGUUCUUUUUAUAUAUUAAAUGGAUGUGAUGUUUUUGAAAUUAUUUUUAUUUAUGUAUUACUGUGACAUUAUAUAUAAAAAACUUGUUUUUCAAAAAAUGAAGAACCCAAACAGAGGCCAAGUUUUUGGUUUCAUCAGAGAAAACUGUAAGAAAACUAUUUCAAGCUGGAGGAACAAAAUGCGAAGCUAGACAGGGAAAGAGGUUUUACUGAAAGCAAUAAUCAUGACAAUGCCAACUUAUGCAAUGUCAUGUUUCAAGCUUCCAAUGAAACUAUCUGAGACAUAAAUGCAAUUGUGGCAAACUUUUGGUGGAGAGAAGAAAAUGGAAAAAGGAAAAUCCACUGGUGCUCAUAGAAGAAGAUGACAAAUGAUAAGGAUACUGCUAGACUAGGUUUCAAAGAUCUCCAAAGAUUCAACAAAGCUCUGCUGGGCAAACAGAUUUGGAGGUUUCUCACAUGCCCAAAUCUUCUGAGGAGCAAAGUGAUGAAAGUUAGGUACUAUCCCAUGGAGUCACCCCUGAACUAUAAAGUCAAGAGCAAUUCAUCUUGGAUAUGGCAAAUUUUGAUGGGAGGUAGAAAUGAAGUAAAUAGAGGAGCGAGAAAGAAAAUUGGGAACGGUAAGAACACUAAAAUUUGGGAAGAUGCUUGGAUACAGGAUUGCAAAACCUCCAGGUUGCCAGAUUAGCAAAGUGAGUAAGUUAAUAAUCUUUGGAAUUUGACUCAUUGGUACUAGAGGUGGCAAUUUGUCCCAAGUCCCAAUAGGUUACCCAUGUCCAAAAAGACUUUGGGUGAGAUGGAUAUUGCAAUUUGAUAUUGGGUUUAAAAUGGGAUGCAUCCCAAUUAUACCCAUUAUUUGAUGGGAAAUGUUGGGAAAUACUUGGGUACCCAUUGGGCCCAAAUAUCUUUUCAAAAAAUUUCAUUUAUCAAAAAAUUCUUCUUUGAUUUUUUUUUUUUUUUUUUGCAAAAAUCUGAUUUUUUUUCACUUCCAUUUUCUUUCUUUUCCUUUCUUCACUUUCCUACAAAAGAAAACCAAUUAAGUAAAAAUGAUUUCAUUUAAACAACUUUAAAAAAACAAAGAUAACAAUAAAAAUAAAAUGAAUUGGUAAAACUUUGGUGUCGACAAGAAUCAAUGCUUUACUAACAACUGUUAGCAUCCUCUAUGUUGAUUUUAUACUAAUUGUUGAACUAUCUAUAUAGAUUUCUAUAUGCAAUCCUGUUAUCAAUUUUUAAUCAGGUUCUUCGUUUCUGUGCUAGCUUUAUUCAACAUUUAAUGUGAAUUUCGUUUGUAUCAAAUUUUGGAAAUUUUAAGAAUGUCAGUAAGAAUGAAUUUGGUGUUAAAAAAAUCUUGUUUCUAGUCCUUGUGUCAGACAAUAUUAUGGGUAAGGUUGGAAUAUUGCUGUAUAUCUAUCUUUUCCUUUAUUUGUUAAUCCAAUUUUUGGUUUAAUUCAGGGAGAAGAUAUGUUCAUUCUUACCAAAAUGUUAUGUCUUUUAAAAGUAACUGUUGAUCGUUCUAAAGUGUAAAUGAAUUCAGGAAAAUAUAAAUUCACAAUAAGAUCAAAAGAAAUUUAAUAAAUAAAAAUAUUAAAGUUAUAUAAAAAAUAAAAAAGAAUUAAAGAAAAAAAAUAUAGAAAAUAGAUUUGGGUAUUGGGCGGGAUCAAUCUAAACUCAUUCCAAAGUGAUCCCGCCUAAGUUAAUCCCAAAACACAUAUGGGUAAGGUUAGACCCAAUCCCAUAUGAUUCGGUUUCAUUUUCUGUCCAAGCAAAUCCCGUCCAUCCCGCCCAUUUUGCCACCUCUAAUUGGUACUAUUUAUUUCUUUUUUGAUGCCCUCGACAUCCGCUCCAUACAUUUUCAUUGUUUUGAUUACUUGCUUCUUCUUCUUUUUUUUUUUUUUUUUUUGAGGUAGGGGGGGGAACUUCCUAAUCAAAUGUGCAUGCAGAUGGCUAAAACAUAUGCAUAGAUUAAAAAAACGAGUAAAUUAUAUAUAUAUAUAUAUAUAUAUAUAUAUAUAUAUAUAUUGACAGUAUAUACACUAUCACUGUUGAAUUUAUAAUAUACGUGUAAAAGUUGAAUUUCAAUUCAAAUUUUGUAUAAUUUAUCAUUCAUCUGACAGUGUAUAGAAGAUUAAUUCUUUAAAAAAAUCAAAUAUUCCAACGUAAGUCUCAUCGGGAAAUCAGAUUUCACUUCUCAAUAGCUGAGCAAAAUGAAAUAUUCCAAAUGCCCAGAGCAGCAAUAUUUUGACCAUGGAUAAAAACCAAACGGUCUAAACAAAAAAAACUUACAGAAACGAAUAGAAAGGAAUCCAUAACAAGCCCAGAACCAAUACAAAUUCCACUUAGGCAAAAAAGAUUUGGUAACUACCACUGCAUAUCAGUUUCUCCUUCAAGAAAAAAUUACCAAUAUUUACAUGUAAAUAUGUAAUAAGAUUAUCUCUAUAGUAGGUAAAGUUGAGAUUUCAAGAAUUAGACGUUUUAGAUUCAAAAGUGGUGUUCGCUAUUCUUUUCUUGACCGUUUGGGACUUUUUUUUCUUGUGUUGAUCCUUGCCAUAUAACUACAUAUUUUCUUUUUAAGCUGUUAGUUUUAAGUUCAUGGUCAUGCAGAAAGAAAUAUAGUAAUAUCAUGAAUUGGCCUUCUCAAAUCAUUUGCUGGAUUUUUAAGUGCAAUAAGUGAAAAAAAAAAAUAUAGCUUAAUCACAAUCUGCUAAAGGCUAAUUAAGGAAAGAGCAUUACUACCUCAAGCACAUGAUUGCCAUGCCAAAUCAACUAAUUAAGUUUUCUCUGGUGCACUCCUUUAAUUGUUUAAGCGACCAAGGACCCCAUUGUAAAUUAAUCGAAUCUCCUUGGAUUGAUCAGGUUUUGUUUUGGCCUCUGCUGCAUUAUUUCCUACGAAUCAACUAUACAAUCUGGUUUGUGUUGAACUCUUGAGUAGCAAUACCCAGAAUGAAUGUUAUUUUUUGGGGUUGUUUCAGACGUCCUAUCUGAAUGGAGAAGGAAAGUUUCUGUCAUCAGUUUUCUCCUGAAUUCGGUUUUAGAGUAAAGCAGCUUAUGAUCUUCUUUUGACCAAAGUAGAGGCAACGAUCUUAUUAGCAAGCAGGCUAAUACUUUAAUUUCAUCACUGCAUGAUAUACUAUGGUUAUUAAGAAAUAAGAGUUUCAUUUUCCAGUCCUCAGCGGUCAACAACUAUAUUGGAGAAUCAAAAAAAAUAUCUGGUGACACAAUUUUCCUUUAAUUAAACGGAUGCGAGGAUGAAAUAAGUAAUCCUGUUUUCUACACUGAACAAAACGUAACAACGAGUGGUAGCCUUUGGAAAAUCAUGCACUAUGACAGUGGAAGAUAAAUCAAAGUCACUCAUUUUGCAAUCCAAACAGCAGUUAUAGAAAACCAUUUUGUUUGCAACACUGAAUUGCUGCAUCAAACAUGUCUUCAAUGCUGUAUUUGUAUUCGAAUCCAGUGUCCAAAAGUUUCUUGGAAGAAAGGCUACCAGAUUCUUCGGAUCCUGUCAUCUCCUUCAAGGAACUGUAAGGAACUGACUUCACUUAGAUUUUCAUUUCAUCAAUAUGUAUUCAAAUAACAGUAAGAUAACAGAACUUACUCAGCAGUUGGUAUUGGAUACUCAGGGUACCUAGCGGACAGGCAUUCGGCUAACUUAUCAAUAGUGACUUCAACAGCAGAACAAAUAUACCUCCCUUUAGCUUCAGGAUACUCAAACAGAAAGAUGUGUGCCCUGGCCACAUCAUCAGUAUGCACAAAUGGUGUUUUAUAAUGAUACUUAAUGCUGAAUUCAUCUUGAUGACCUGCACAAUAAGAAAAGUUCCAGGCUGAGAGGAUCCUCAAGUGAAACUUUUGAUGACUAGCAUUCUUAGACUUUAAACCAUUCUUUGCCUGUUUCAAGCUAAUGCAGAGUUGAUGAUAGCUAUUUCUGAGGUAGUGCAGGCAAAUUAGUCAGACAAGCAUUCCUCAGUGAAAUAUGUUUGCCUAGUUAUAUUUCUUGCAAAGUUCAACCUAAAAUUCAUGUGCUAUCUGAAACUUUUCAAAUAAUGCAGACAAAUUCAAGUGAAGAAAUACUUAAUUUUGUCUUUCUGAUGCUUGCAAACUAAUUAAGAAAGGGUAACAGAAAGAAGUGAGUCAUGCUAUUCUGAUAAACAAAAGCUUACCAAUGAUCAUUGCCAUUGAGGAGCGUACAGAGCCAGGCAUAAAAGGGCAUACAAAGGGGCCAUGUAUCCAGGUAGGAAUUAUGCUCACAAGAUCAAGCCCAUUUUUCUCUGCAAAUUCCAAUGCAGCUUUUUCUGUUAACGUCUUGGUGAUUGCAUAAGAGACCGGCCCACUACCACCAAAGAUCCUCCUAAUAUGAUCUACAUCACUCCAGAUGCUUUCAUCCACCAUGUUUAGGCCCUUAUCAUUUGACCAGACAGUGGAUGCACUGGAAGUAUAAACAACUCGCUUCACUGUCUUGGAAUUAAGGCAUGCCUGAAGAAUCCCAAUUGUUCCCCUGAUAGAUCUAUUGAUCUUUGUUUCCUCGGUUUCUUUGCCCUCAAAAUCCAUAGGGUGAGCAACAUGAAAGACUCCAAUGCAGCCUUCAAUUGCUGCAUUAAAGCUGUCUGGUUUAUCAAGAUCAGCGUUGAUAACUCGUAGUCUUUCUAAUGCACCAGGUAGUUCUGUGAGGUGGUUAAUGUUUUUCUUUGGAUCUGGCAGUGAGUUUCAAAUGUCAAUUUUUGAUAGUAACAGUCCGAUAACACUCAGAACUAGCACUCAGUCUACAAAUGGAGAUUAAAAAACUUUCAAAAUUCAACUUUUUGUCCCGUGAUGUUCAAUUGAGUAUUCUUGGAUAAGCUCAAACUUCACUCAUGUCGCAGCUUUGCUAAUAUAAGCCUUCCUUUAGCAUGUAUAGAAACAAAAUUGAAAAACCAUUUUUGUUUAAUCUGAUCUCAGAGAUCCAAUCUCAUAGAUGUGCUGUUGCAUGCAUAAAUUCUUACAGAGUUUAAGCAAGGAUAGAUUAUCAUGCAGCAUUGGUAGAAUUGUAGGCUACAUAUACACUACCGUUUUUGUGGGAAAGUGUAGACUGAAUAUCUCAAACACAUUAGUAUUAUCUACCAAUAUUGGUUAUAAGAUUCUUGUUUUUAAAUCCCUCCCACCCCACCUUCUCAACUUCCAUCUGCUAUGUUCAGGAUUUAAACCUUGGAAUCGAAACUCCCUGACCUCGGUCUCAAUGGUUUUAAAAGACACCAAAAUUAUUCUGAAGUCAUAAAGUAUGGGACAUCUAUUUGCAUCCUGGAAAUAUAGCUACAUCUUGCUAGAACUAUCGCCCUGUCCCAGCUAUGACUUAACGGGGGGAAAACAUCAAUAAAACCAUCAAGGGGAACCUCCACGAAGAUUGGGUGCAUUCACUUUUUUUUUUUUUUUGGUGUCUUUCUUAUGGUAACUACAAUUAACAGUACAUAUUGUAUGUCUAAUCAGAUGGUGUUUUGAUCCUGGGAGUACAUUUGUGGCUUUAUCAUAGCUUUGUUAUCAUGAAACAAUAACAUUACACAUAAAAAAAAUGCUUCAAUAGCGUUUCUGUUUCAUGAGAUUAAUUUGAGGGUUUUGGAGCACAGAGACUUUCAUAUUCACAUUCGACCAUCAACAACCAAUUGACUUAGUCAGAUGAAAACAAGGGCUAAAGAAUAGAAAAGAUUAUUAUUAUCCAUUACAAGUACAUGCAUGCUAACGUAAUCUUGGUUGGUUUUUACUUGGCGUGCCAGAAAAGAAGUGGAUUUCUGGCAUAAUCAGCAGGGUUCAAUUCUUAUAGUACUUGGUUCGUUUACUAAAAUGGCAAGUUGUAUAUAGUUGGCGAGGGAGGAAACGAUACAGACGGAAAUGGUAAAGUAGGAGAAGUAGAGAACUGAUUACUAGUAAAUCAACAAACAUGAAAACCUGAAGAGGGCCUAAUUGUAGCGUUGACAGAAUAACCAUCUUCAAGCAGCCUUUUGAUCAACCAUGAUGCCAAAAAUCCAGUUCCACCAGUUACACAUACUCUCCCCUUCUCCAUCUUCUCCCCUUCCAUUAAUUUGUGUCCCUCUAGCCUUUAAUACCAGUCUAGUAUUGUUUGGGCUCUUUAAUUUGCAGUGGAUUGCAAGUUUCAACUUGAAGAAUUAAUGGAGAUAUUUCUUAGCCCUCAGUCAGGAAUCAACCACGUUCACUCGUUCAUGUAUUGUUGUCAGAUCGAUGUCAAAAUAGUACUAAGAUUGCUAGUGGAGUUAUUUUCCUAGGAAUAAAAGUCAAAAUAGACACCUGUUCAUUGGUUAGAAUGAUUGAAAAGGUGAUGUUGCUGGUCCAAUAGACACCUGUUUGGAGCUGAGCCACAGCCUGAGAGUGCCCAACGUACCAAAUGCUUUGUAAUUAGUUUGGUAGUUAAUUAAAACCACAAAGGCUAUGCGUUUUAAUGAACUACAAUAAUAACAUAUUAAAAAUUAAUUUAGCUUUGUUUGGAGGAUUUGGAUAUAAAUAGAAGAAGAUAUAAAUUGGGAUUAAAAAGGAUAAAACUAGUAUUAAAAGGGAAAUGAAAAAAAGACUAACCUCCCAACUCUGCCUUUCAUUGAAUUUUCAAAAAGAGCAUUAAAAUUAUUUUUCAACAUUAUUAUGUUUCGACAUUAGAUGCUCUAACGAACUAACAUGAAAUUCGAAAAUUCAAAAAAAUAACUAAUUAAAUUUGUAUUUAAAUUAAGGGAUAAUCAUGGAAGGGAAUUUAAAUUUGAAUAACAAACAAAAAUAACUAGCAUUAGAUGCUCUAAACAAAUUGUAUACAUCGUGGUGCAUUUAUUUGCUGGAGUGAGGCGUCCAACAAAUUGAGACUGAUUGAUGUGAUGCCUCUCCACAUUAGCUAUUCUGGGAAAGACAUGCUACAUAUUAUCCUUGCAUUCCCAGAAAUCAUAGGGAGACACGGACUAAUAUCUCAGCCAUGACAAGUUUUGACACUAUUGUAGCCUAUCUAGAUAAACAGCUGCACUUUGCAACUGCAGAUUCGCAAGUCAUCAUCUCAAAGCUUUCAAUUAACCGCAUCGGGUUGUCUUUCGGGCAGAGAAUCAAGAAAUUCUGGUAAAGCCUUGUAUGAAUUGAAUAUCCUGCUCAAUGUAGGGAACUUAGACUGCAAAAGAACAAGAAAAGGGACAAUAUGAUACUUAAAAAUCACCAUAUUGCACCAAAGAAGGAAACUAUCUUCAGAAGCACAGUGCAGGAAACAUGUAUAAACUCUAAAGGAAACAAUGGUCGUGUUUCUGGGACAUGAAUAUUCCUGCUUGUGGGCAUCCAGAAACAAAUUUCACAACAUACCAAGUAUGUUCUUUUAGAGGUUUACAAUGGGAUGCAGCUAUGAGUUAACAAACAAAUGGAGUAAAACUCAAAAGGCUUUGGUGUGGAGGCAAACACAAAACAAGCAAUGUCUCAGUGCAUGACAGGUACAUGUAUGUAUUGUUGCGUUGGGACUUACCAUGUCAAUAUUAAACCUUUUUAUUGCAACAGCAAUUUGCGGUGCCAAAAAUACAUCAGCCUGCAACAUCCACAAGUCCAAGUUCAAUAAUGACCGUUGAAACCAUCAGAUUUCAACUUUCUGUUCGUUGUUUCCUGGGACAGAUUUUUAGCUGCAGGUAGUUUCAAUUCCAAAAACAACAAAGCAGUUUUCAUUUCUGUUCCAUCCAAAUUCAUUUGGUGAUCUCCACAUUUAUACGACUUUCAGUAACAAAAGAAUAUUCUCACAUAUUCAUACAUGCACAACGUUCUUAACAGUUCAGGUUGUUGGAAGAUGACUCUAUUUGAUACUCGACUAUCUCCAUACUCAAAUCCAAAAUAAAAAGAUAAUCAGACAUGAAUUACUACUAUACCAAGUAUAUUUCAUCUCCUGUAGCAUAUUUCCCAGCAAGGCUGUUUAGCAACUUCUCAAGAGCUGCACAGAAACAAGAUCCAAUUCGUAUUACAACUACCCCAAAAAAUUACGGCAAUAGAUGAACACUGAGGUGCAAAAUGCAAGAUACAAGCAGUGUCCAUUUAAAGCAUGACCCCAAUGUUCCUCAUCGAUCAAGAAUACCAGACCUCAAAAUGUCACAGACAAGAAUUGACUAGAUCAGUCAUUCUCUAGUUCCGUAAGCAACAGUUUGAAAGAGUUUUUUUUCCACAUUUUCCAGUAAUUAGAUUUUUUUGAUUGAUUUAUCAAUUAUUUAAACAUCUGUUUUAGUCCAUUUCAUAUGAUAAACUCAUAAAACUCUAUGUUUAAUCUAACAAGAAUCUAAACAGUUUUUGUCCAGUUAACAACAACAUCUUGUGAGUAGUCCCUGAAUCAGAACCAAUUUGUGAUUACCAUGAUUCCUCAGUGAUAAAUCAGAGUUUUUUUGACUAACUCAUCUGCACAAGUUCCAAUCAUUAUAAGAAAGUAAGCCAGUGUAUCUACAUGAUUGGCUUGAGUAACAAGAACUCUAGAAGACAAUGCAAUAGUACCAAUUCUUUCUUCCCCGAAACACAAUAUCUGAAGAUCUCGGAGAAAGCAAGGGCAGUUAAAUCGUUCAAUAUGUCAUGAUGAAAGACAAAACUCUCUGCAGGACAAGUUCAAAGAAUACAUUGCCAUUUAAUUGUUUUUCCAAAUACUACAUUUGCUAGGAUAAAGAAAGAACACAUUUGGGAUGUCAUUUGUGUCAUCUAUUAAGUGGUCUUCAUCCACGUAUGAGAUAAGAGCAGUAGUUUCAUCUAAACAGAUGAAAAUGGCUGGUGAACUUAAAGAGCGUUGACUGUGAUGUGUAUAGCUGCACCAACACAGCUAAGACAGAUUUCAGACCCAUAGAAGCCCAGUGAAAUCAUAGGCAAAUCUACAUCAUGAUUUUGGACUUGAGGGGAUACAAGAAAAUGCGAUCUCCCUUUUGAAAUAGAAGAAGUUUGAGCACUUGGGAUAACUAGAAAGGACAAAACAGAUGGCAAAAUGAAGUUUAUGUUUUGAAUUUUUCCUAAAAGUACUUGCGAUUUAAUCAUCAAAACUCAGUUACUAAAGCAUGGUAAGAACUAAGAAGGGAUCACUUCAAGCCUGGAAACAUAAGAAAAGCAGUAACCAGAAUGACAGAUUCCAACAUAAAUACUCACCAAAGAAGCCUGUCUCUAUCUUAGAUUGAGCCCAUGAUGAUCUUUCUUCGGAACCAAAUUUUUCCUCAAUAUUCCUCUAUAAAAUGGAAAAGAGAUGAGAAACUAAACCUAAAGGUUCUAUCCUGCCUAAAAUAUCAAAAUGGCGGUGAGGAACUUUAUACCAGCACUGACACCAUAUGCAGAGGCUGUAUGCUGGAGGAGACAAUGUUUGCAGCCUGUAAGAGAAACAUACCUCCUCCAAUGAGCGAAGAAGAAGUUUGCUUGAACAAGUAAUCUCAAGCAUCAGCGUUAUUUACUUAGCGCAGAAAAACAUCAAUAGGUAAACAGCAUGAGCUGUCCAUGUGAAACACUUAAUGUUCCUGUCUUGAUGGAAACUUAUGUUUGAAAUAACAAGCCAGCAAAUGUUGUUUUACCGCAUCACAAACUAUACUUCACAAAUUAGUAUGAGUAACUCCCUAUUCUUGCUUCUCUUAAAGGUGAACUUAUGUAUUGGCCCCGUUGGUAAUGCAAUGCUUACAGGUACAACCAUAUCUUGGUCAUCCUAAGGCCUUUCAUGGAAUUAUUCAGAAGUCCUUGGAGCUAACCUGAAGAUUGAGGGCUCGUAGUCCAGGAUCAAGGGGCAUUAAUGCUUUGUGGGGAUACUUCUCCUCCAGAUACUAGCCAAUAGUUGCCAGCAGAGAAUUUGCACAGAAGUUAGAAAAGCAUUAAAAGGAAAACCUUAUCGGGGAAAAUAAGUAGGAAGAACAGAGUAAACAGUCAUUUAGAGCAAACCAGCAAUAUUGCCAAUGAAUCAGACACCACCAAAUCUGCAUCAGCCAACGCAGGAACAUAAUGUAGUGGAUUUAUUUUCUCAAACUCUGCACAACAUUUCCAUGAAAAUGAAUGAAUAGCAGUAUUUCUCAACCACAUGUACAAUAGCACGACUCUAACAGUGUAUCUUGGAUUACAUGAAAGUAAAGAGCAGGCAAAAAACUUGAUACAACAAUCAUUUGAUAAGUACUAUGAAAUAGGCAUCAGGUUUAUGGAAAUCUUAUCGCACUGUUUGUUGCAGUUGACUUCUAAUACUAAAAUGACACAUUUUAUAAAAUAUCUGUUUUUUUGUUUGGUUCUAGAUUUUUAUCAAAACUUUAUUAACUUCUCAUUGAAAAACAAGUAAAGAAUAGUUUUCCUCCAAAUGUUUCACGAUUCUAAACGUAUCAAAACAUAAUGAAAUUGUCGAAAAAAACAAGAAAAAGCAAAAGGAGUGAUGAGUAUGACAGAUGCAAUGUUGUUAAGAGCACUAAACAACUCAAAUGACUCAAUCGAAAGGCCAGAAGAAGGAGACAGAGAGAACCUGGGCUGAAUUGCUCUCCUUUCCUAAGAUUUACUGCUCUAUAGUCAUACGGAAGCCCUGUACUCCCAAAGAAAGAACAAAUAAAUGAGUCAACAACAGCAAAAUUAAAAGAGUUCCUAGUCGCAUACCAAAAAUAAGUUCUUGAGCAAGAAAUGAAAACAGGAUUGAUGGAGAACCUUUAAGAUUCAAAGCAAAGCGGACUCUCCAAGAGCAUGAACUCUGCCAGAAAGAGUAGAGUAUAAGCUUUGGAGGGGCUGUUGAUGUUGAAUUAUCAACAGGGCUCGCACUCUUCUGCUGCAUUUGGAUUGACUUAAUGAUUUACAAUCACCAAACAAGCUAAUACUGUAAUCACUGGGCAAGAAGAGGUUGCUCCUCGUAGUGACUAACCAAAUUGAAAGAGAAAAACGUUAUUCAAUGAGUUUGGUUGUGAAAAGUUCAAGAACUGUUAGGAAAUAAUUACAGGGGCAAGACAGAUCCUAGGAAAGGCUAAACUCAUUAGUCAGCUAAAAUGUACAAAGGAUUGGCCUAGGAGGUACGGUGCUUGGCCCUCUUGGUUUUGGAUAUGGAUAUAGGGGUGCUUGGUUUCUCGGUGGAUAUAUUCGGUUAUUCUCAUGUAUGGGGAAUUUACUGAGCUAUGCUGCCACUGCCCCUAAUCCACUUUGUGUAGCAACUAAUCCUUGUUUGGAAUGUUAGUUUCCGUAGAAAAAUGUUUAUGUUUCCGUGAAUAUAUUUUUUAAUUAUCUUUUUAUCUCAUAUUAGGGGUGGACACAUGUCGGGUACCCACCCCUAAUAAGAUUUGGCUGACCCGAUUCUAAAAUAUCGGAUCAGCCAUUUUGCGACCCUAACCCGCUCCUAAUAUUUUCGGGUACUCGAAAAAAAUGGACGGGUCAUAGGGUACUCGCCCCUAAAAAAAACUAUUUUUCAAUAAAAAAAUAUUUUUCACUUAAUAUCAACAUGUUUUCCAAUAAAAAAAAAGUAUGUUUUGCAAUUAACAUUGGUAGAGAUAUUAUAAUUAAAAUCCAUACAUCACCAUUCUCACACAUUUCAUCCAAUAAUCAAACCGAUUUCAUAAAUUUAGUAUAUAUUAGAAUUAUAAUAUCUAAUAGAUAAAACGAAAUUUUAUGAUAAUUUUGAGUACAUCACCAUUCUCACGCAUUUCAUCCUUUUACAACAUAACAAACACAAGGAUAAUAAGUAUAUGACAACUUUUUCAACUUCCUUAAGGAUAUUAUGGUACAAAAUUGCAUCCAAAAUGAGUUGAUUGUGGAAUCAAGUCCGGAAAAGAAUUGAACAGAACUAAUAAUUUUUGAAGAAAGUAUAACCAAAAUAAUUUUGAAAAAUUUUCCCCAACAUUCUUACAUCUUUGGAAUAGACCUUGUUGCAUUAAAUGUGAUGAAAAAGAAAAAUAAAUUUCUUGCACUAAAAUAAAUGAGACAAAUUUAAGAGACACAAUUGCAAUAAAAUAAAUAAAUAAAUGAAAGACACAAAUGUUUUAAUUAUCUAGCUAACAGAAAAUUGGAGCUCCAAACACAAAUUUUUGAUUGAAUUGAAGAAAAAUUUGCAGGACAGAUCGAUCGAAGUAGAAUAAAAAUGAAAAAAAAUGAAAGGGAUGAACAAUUUUUAUGAUAGAGUUUCACAAAUUUUUCUUUGUUUUAUUCAUUUGGUUCAAGUUUCACCAAGAAUAUUGGUUUUUUUUAGACAAGAUGAGGAGAGGCGGAUCAUAUGAGAUUAAAAUAUGAGAUUGUGAACCACUUUACUUACACUUAGGAUUAAAAAUUAUAAAAUUAUAUAAUGAACCCUUAUUUUUUUAAUAUUUAUAUAAUAUACCCUGCGGGUCGGAUACCCGCGGACAUUUAUUUUGCUGAUCCGUAUCCGUAUCCGUUUUUGCGGGUACCCGACCUGCAUCUGCCGCUCUAAGAAAACUAGGAUCGAAUAUCCUAUUUUUCGGAUCGGAUUGGGUUAGUCAGGUUUCGGAUUGAAUCGAAUUUUUUUGCCCACCCCUAUCUCAUAUUCAUCAAAUCGUUACAGUAUAUUUUUUUUUAUAAAAAUUCCUAAAAAUAGCAAUCCAAACAGAGUAGGAACCAAAAAAAAUAUAUAUAUAUAUAUAUAAUUAGUACUUGUUAGGUGUAAUGUUAGUAUUUCCUAAUGAUAAAUGCUUAUCUAACUGCAUUGUUAUAUUUGGCACUAUAGUGCGUAGAACUUUUCAAAUAAUUGUGACAAAAACAAAAAACAAAAACAAAAAAACUAGUAAUAACUCACCUUCGUAGAACUUGAAAGGAAAAGAAGAACACAUCAAUUUUUUGUGCAGACGAUUUCUAGAAAGUUUUAUACCAAAUGGUAACAAUGAUAAAUUAUCUACUUUCAACUGAAAUUUAGAGUUUUCCUUUAAGAUUUAUUAUUUGCACGACCAAUUUUGGUUCUCUGAACAAUAUUAUGAUUUACUAUUAAUUAAAUAUUAAAUGUGCCCUUCCUAUGUAUAUGUUUCAGUUGCACUCUAAAUUACCUUGACGUAUGAUCAUUCACUUUGGGGCCAAAAGAUGCUAAGAAACACAUUCGAAAAAGGCAAUACUUGUUAAUCAAUUUAAUAAUUACUCCACUAUUUGUUUUAACUUUUAAGUAAGUUCUGAGUCUAAAUGAAUCCCCCAUGGUUAAUUCACAAGGGUUCAUCAAUCGCUAUCUUUCUCUUUCCCCUGACUUUUUUCCUUUAACAAUUAAUUAAUUUUGUGAAAUAAAUUCUUGUGUUCCUGAUUACAAACAGAAAUCUAUUGGGUUUCUGUAUAAUUUUCUAAAGUCUAGGUGCAUUUCUGUUAUUUCGCAAAAAUAUUCAGCCCUUCUAAGUAAUAGCUUAGCAGCCCAAGAAGUCGAAGAUCUCCCGCCCGUAUCAGACCUAUAAAUACUCCAGGGGUUAAGAGCAGUAUUAAGCCAAAGGUCCAGAACCUUCAAAUCUUUGUUACACUUUCCUUUCUCCUGGGUUUGAAGAUUUCAGACAGAAAAACAAAUUAAUCAAGCCCUGAAUAGUUCAAAACUUUUCUUCUACAAGAAUGGCUUUCUGGGGUCAGUUGCUGCGUUGUUAUAUUGGUGAUAUACUUUAUUAUUACGUCCCCAGUUUAACCCACUAACAAUAUUGGAUUUUUUGUUCUUUUCUUUUUCUGAUUACAUUUUUCAGGAAUUGAAGUGAAACCGGGAAAGCCCGUUACUCAUUCUUUUGAUAAAGUACGUCGAAGGCUACGAAUUUCCCAGGUAAUAAUUCUCAAGAAUGCAUAUUUGAAUGAUUGGUUUUUCGCAUUUUUCCAGUUUGUAUUUGCUAUUCCAGUGCUUUUUUUUUCCUUCCUCUAAAAAAAUUUCGGCCCAUUUUUCGGAAUUUCAUAAUUAAGAAUUAAUUGGGUUUUUCUGUGAUGGAUUUUCUAUUGAGUAUCCAUGUUUGACAUUGAAUUUAAGAAAAGGAGAGAGAAGGGAAAACUAUUAGAAGAAAAAGAAAGAAAGAGGAGAAUCACUGAAAGUUAUGUAGAUUUUUGUGUCAUAUCUGAUACUGGAUCUGAAAAUUUGAUUAUCUUUGUUGCACGCUUUCUUUUCUUUCAUGAUGGUAUGGUGUACGAGGAUUACAUUUUUGUCAUUUAAUUGGAUUUCUUGUUAUAUUGUUUAGGCCACACUGGGAAUCGGAUCAGCAAUAACAAAGAGUUUAGUCCAAUGUAAUGUGGGGAACAAGAGUCCUGUUUUUCUAUGUGCAUUAUUGCCUGAUAAGACAGAAUCAUGCCACUUGGAUUUGGAAUUUGAGGAGGCGGAUGAUGUGGUUUUUUCUGUUAUUGGUCCUCGAGGCGUUUACCUGACUGGUUACUAUGUUAGCAAUGAUCAGCAUCCAGCUCUGAACAGUGAUACGUAUCCUUUCCUGUUUGUUUUUUGUCUUUUUUGGUUCUCAUUGCUUUCUACAAAAGCAUUAGAGGCACGGCAUGUCAUUUGAAUUAUCUUUCCUUGACUUUGCUCUUAAGUCGCAUAGUCAUUACAAUCUUGGUGAUAUUAUGAUGUUCCUUUACCACACUCCCUCCUUCGAGGAAACAUGCUUUUUGUCAUUUUGUUGCUUUGAGGUAGAUGCUUGAAACUUCUAAAUUUCCUUCAUUUAUUGCAAAAGAGAGUCGUAUGGUGAGGAUAUUGCAAAUACUGAGACAGAAGAAUCUGGUUUGCGUAGUGAUGAGGAUGAAUAUGAAGAUAGCUUUAUUGAUGAUAGUGAUCCGGUGGUGUCACCACCCUCAGCUGAUGGAGGUAUAUGCAGCAUAACCCUUCUUUAAUUUCAUUCUUUCUCUGCAGAAGUUCAGCAUCAUUGACUCAAAAUCUUCUCUUAAGCUGAUUGUUGAUAUGUUUAACAAAAAUCACAAAUCUUCGCUGCGUAUGUUUGCACUGUUUAGUGUUUUUAGCUGAUCAGAUCUUCUUCAGUAUAACAAAUAAGGUAUCAGUGUUAAUCAUUCGGCAGUGAUGGAUGAUUACAUUACAACAGUAUGUGUUUCUAAAUAAGUUGUUUGACCGUGUUGGAUUGAAGCAAUGGCUGAUUAUUUUCUUUAUCUGGACUUGUGUGUUUCCUCCGUCUAUCAGCUUUUUGUCAUCAAUUAUCUGUCUUUUCUUUUUUGCAUGCUUUCUGUGAUAUUUUUCAUAUUUUAUUAGUCAGAAUCUUACUGAAGUCUAGAUUUGUUGAUGAUCCAGUUGUUAAGGAGAUGGACAAUGAGAAGGAGAUGAGAGAAAGGAAAGGCAGUAAACGACUGCAAGGGAAGAAAUUUGUUAUAAUUGAUUCUGAUGACGAAACUACUUCUCAGGAGAGUGAAGAUGAGGAUAAUCACCUUAUAUCUGCAUCUAAGAAUAAUAUGGUUGCAAAAGACAAGGUAACAGUUGAAACAAUUGCUGAGCCAGCAGAUUGUGGUGCUUCUGGCCAUGUAUCAAAGGAAAAAGCUGAUCCUGUUACCAUGCCAAAAGAACCGAAGAGGUGGCUUUUAGUUGCAUUACUUCUCACAUUAUCUCUUUUAGUGAACUUAGUUAUGUUCAUGUACCUCCAUCAAACUAGAAUGCAUGUAUGAAGUUUACUCUUCCUAAUUUUGCUCAUUUUUUCAUUUUCUAUGUUGCUUUCUUUGUUAACUUCAGAAUUCAAUCUCACUAUACAGUACGGUGACCUGUGUAGUGGAUAAAUUCUUUCAAGUUGUUCCCCAUAGUACAAAUUUAGGUACUAUUAUUCAUUGGGUCCCUGUUGAUUGUUUUUCAAAAUUCCUGGGUACAGGAAAACCCUACCAUGUAAUGCAUCAUUUCCUGCUGAUGAAGUCAAAUUAGAUAAAGAGAUGGAGCCACAGGAAAUCAGGUGCCUCUCCCAGGAGGCAGAAACUUUUGAAGAUAAUUCUGUUAACCCUAUUGAUUCCCCUGUACAUCAAGUUCAUGCAAAUUUGGCAAAGGUUGAUGACGCAUCUGGGAGUCUGCAUGCAAGUAAAAAAGAAGAUAAGAGGCAAGCGAUUUCAUUUUCUAGCACUCUUUCCUUCUGCAUCUUGUCUACCUAAUUUAUGCAUGCAUAUGCCAUCUUUAGGAGACAUGAAUGCACAUAGAGUAAGAAAAAAUAGAACAAUAAGCAUUAGCAGGGCCAUAUUUAAUCAAGUUGGCUUAAUUUAUCUGAUCACGUUGCAAAAGAGAUCAAAUAUUUGGUUCAGUAUAAUUUUGUGAUCAUUUGUUUUCUUGACAUGCUACAGAGGUAGUAUGAAAAGUUAAAAAGAAUGGCCAACAGGCGUAGUAUUCUGACUGGAAGAAAGAAAAAUUAGAGAUAGAUAAUUAUGCAUAGUCAGGCAUGGAACAAUCUAUCAUAUGGAUAUUCAUUUUUUUUUGUAUUCAAGCAACAAAACCAUGUGUAUUAGACCAUUGCUGUGUAUGAGAUGAAAGUCCCCUAAAACCAGGAGCACUUUCAGUUUUAGGAAUUGAACUCUCCAGAUUGGAUGUGGAUGAGUUGAAAAUUUCAAUGUGUGAGCAGAAAAAACUGUGAUACUUUCUGCAUGAUGAUGUGCUAUCCUAAAGGUUACUUUCAUCCCUCAAUGUUAGCUGAGGGGAUUCACUGUCAUCAUUGUGGAUGUAUCGAGCCUUUUAUGAUUCUCUUUAAGAAAGUAAAACAGGGGAACAUUUUUAAACUUUCUCAUAAGGUUUCUGACUGAACAUGUUCCAUCAUGUCUUCCAUCUUGCUCAACAAUGACUCCUUUUUGCAGUGCAAGUGGGGCGGGCAUCUUACUUGUAUAUAUCUUUAUGCGACUUCUGGAAGUUAUUAGUGCUCCUUAUAUGAUAUUUUUAGAUACAUAGUAGCUGUGUCUGAUUUUCAUUCUGUUUACGUGAACACUACUAGCGAACUUGCUCCUUUAAACAACAAAAAGUCGAAGAGAAAAAGGAAAGAACAAGCUGAUGGUGACAAAAUUAUUGAAGGCAGCAAUAGUAAUCACAAGAAGUCCCUAAAAGAGGAUAAAGUCAUGCAAGCUGUAGCUGAGACUGAUAACAAGGAACAAGAUCUUCCUAUGCCCAAUGAAUCUAACCAAGAACCAACUAUUAAUGGGUAAGAUAUUUUUGUUAUAUCACUGUUGACUGUAUGUUUGCACUAUUUUUCUUUUAACAGUCAUAUGUCUACUAUAUAUACGCUUACUUCAUUGACAUUAGGAGUAGUAUUUUGUUUGGCAGAUCUGGGAGGAUUUGGUGAUGGUAAUUGUCUUAUGUGACUUUACGCAUGCAGGAAAAUUGAUCUUGAUGGUCCUAGUUCAUUGCCUCAUCCUGAGAAAGACCAACCUUCAAAGAAAAGAAGGAAAAAGGGUAGCAUCAAAGAGAGGUCUGAUGGAAGUAAUGAUGCUACCUCUAAAAGAAUUCUUGUGGAUGAUCAGUUGAAGGAAAAUCUCCUAAAGGAUGAGAAAAUUGUCAGUGAUAUGCCUGCAACAACUUCAGAAGAUAAGAAACAGACUGGUGAUGAGUGAGAAUUUGGGCUUUCUCUUUCCUUUUUCUUUAUCUUUGUGCACACUUCUAUUUAUUUUAAUGACUUAUUUUUAGUUGUUGUAUCACUAAACUAUGAGUCCCUCUCUACCUAGAGAAAGAAGAUAUAAAAUUCUUUUGUAGAAAGUAUUCUAAUUUUAUCCUGAUCUACAAUUAACUGGUUCAGUUAUGUAAAAUUGCAGAGGCACAAACUUCGACUUUGCAGCUGAAGGAAAUCAACUUGAGAAACCCAAAAAGAAGAAAAAGAAGGCCAAAACUGUUGACAAUAAAGAAAGCAUGAAUGUGAGUGGAUCACUUUUGUCUGAAAAUGAGUCUAGAGAACCAUCCAAAUCAUGUCAAGUAAGGACCUUGUCAAAUGGAUUAGUUAUAGAGCAGCUGGCAUUGGGCGAACAAGAAGGAAAAAUAGCUGCUAUUGGGAAAAAGGUAAUUCUUUGUCUAAUCAGUGCAUUACAGUAGCAUGAAUCCCAACUUCUUAACACACUAUGAAAAAGUGAUACUGAUUGUUGAAAUGGGUUAAUGUUGAUGCAGGUCAAAGUUUAUUAUACUGGCAUGCUAAAGGAGAGUGGACAUGUAUUUGACUCUAAUGUUGGCAACUCCCCCUACAAGUUUCGUCUAGGUAUAAAACAAAGCACAUCUGUUCACCCCACCUUUUAAGAAUAUAAAACCCCAAAAUGAAACAAUAAAACGUUCUAGAAAACUGCUUUUUUUUUUUUCAUUUUCAAAUCUCUAAAUUGGGCCACUCAUUUUGUUUGGUUGAAUAAUAACAAACAGGAGAUGAAGCAAUUAUUGGGGGAUGGAAUAUUGGUCUCGAAGGUAGGCUCUUCUUGAACUGGAAAUAUUUCGAUCUUCCCUAUACAUCUUUCAUUGGCAGCAUUAUAACUCCAUUGCCAUGUACACAAUUCUCAGGCAUGCAUGUCGGUGAUAAGAGAAGACUAAUCAUCCCACCAGCAUUGGGGUAUAUGCUUCCUUCUGUUCAGAUGUUUUUAGACUGCCACUUUCUAUGUUUUGGUUAUUUUGAAUCUCAAAUAUCUGUGUGGAGCUUAAUACCAAUAUUAAGCUCGCAUGUUGAAAGACAUUAGACACUACUUAAAGAAAUUCAAUAGACAAUAGACUGUACUAAAAUGUUGUUUCUAUGGCAGUUAUGGGAGCAAGGGAGCUGGAGAAAAUGUGCCGCCAAAUUCGUGGCUGGUGUAUGAUGUUGAAUUAGCUGGUGUCCGUUGAUAUAAUGGUUUUAUUUCCACAAAGAGGGAAAAAAAAAAGAACCUCAUGCAAGGAGAGGCAGCCUAAAGUAAAAUGGUGUUUUAAUUUGGGAUCUGAAGUAAGCUUGUUAGAGUACUAGAUGAUCAAUGGGUUCUGAAAAGAUGUAUUUUUGUGUAACAAUGGAUCAUGCAGGAGGAUUUUAUUGUGGAACACAUAUGUCUAUAGUGAUGCUAAAAGCUAGAAGGAAGACACUGGGGCAUCACCCUGAAGAAUAUUGUAUCAUCACCCUACCUCAAUCCUGCAACGUUAUUGAAUCUACAAAUUUCUUAUCUUUGCCAAAGGAAACAACUUGUGGAGCAAUUGUCAGUAUAUCCAUAAUCAACUUAUGUCUUAGGCUCUGAAGCUAAUAUGACUAUAUCCUGUUUCUUUUUAUAUAAUAUUCUGGUCUUAAAAUAAGCAAUAUUCUGAGAAAAUGUGAUUGUGCCCCUAAAUCUGUUCUAAUACACCAUCUGAGUAUUACAUAGAUGCAUCAAAAUGGUGAUCGCGUCCCUGAUAAGUCAUGUAGGAGCUAACAAGCUUCAAGUGGAUGAAAAACGAUCAUUGAUUGAAAGGGCUGGUAAUGCAUGGAUUUGUUGGUGCACCUUAAUUUCUAUGUUUCGUAUCACCUGAACCAAGAGAAACGCAAAAACACAUUUUGACUAGCUUAGAAGGAUUGAUCAAACUGAUGUAAAAUCCGUCCACAAAUUGAGAUUCAUUUUUGUCAACAGGAAAUACUCCAAUUUGCACAAACCUCCACAGCUGUCGUCUGAUGGUACAGGUGCACAAUUCAUCCGUCUUCAGGCAAAAUUUUUAAUUCUGGACAAGAUGGUGGGAGCAGUAGAUUCAUUUUAUAUCUGACAGGUACAGCAAUCAGGGUUCAUAAAAUGGACUUGCAUUACUAGAUCGAGACGUGAGUCCAGAAUUAUUGGUCCUACAGCAAAACACACGCACAAUCUCCUGGAAAGUAACAGUAGAUGCACUUCAAUUCCUUGUUCAGAUAUCAAUAAUACUUCGAUAUCUAUGUAUGGUUGAUACUAGUAGAAAGGUCCAUCUGCGCCUGUGUAUUAAGAAUCUUAAAUGGAAGUAAACAUUUCUGUCUUGAAUACAAACUACCAACUUUUUUACAUGUAUCAAGAAAUUGAGAACACGACCAUCUUGAUUCCCUAUUUCCACUUUACAACAACAUGCAAAACCAUUCAAAAUCCUUGCUCAGAUUUGACAAUGAAGGUUUUGGCCUCAUCUUCUGUAACUUCACUGCAAGAAUAUGCGCAUAAAAACAGGGAAUAAGCAAUUUCGGGCAUUUAAAGAAAGAAAAUUAGAAACAGAAGUACACACAUAUAAUCAGACCUGUCAGCAGCUUCUGUCUUGCUAAUUAGUGUGAUACCGUGAGAAGCAAGAUAUUCGCAAAAACUUUUAAGGUCUUUUUGCUGACAGAAUUUGUAAAGAUGCAGUAUGAAAUCAUUGAACUUUUUCGGCUCCUGCAAAAGAAGAAUUGCACAUAUUAGGACCCGUCGACAUGCAUAUAAAUAUACAUGAAAAAACAGUUAACAAAUCCUUAUUCACCAAAAAAAUGAUAAAUAAAUAGAUUCUUAUGUCAAAUUGGCAGAGUUUGGAAGGGAAGAGACAACAACAGAUGCAUGGAACCUGUAUACAGGGAUAUUUAUCUUACUGGGGGUUGUAUUGUUCUGGAUGUCCUUAAGCUUAUAGAAUAAGUUAAUUUUAUUCCCAGACAUAUAAAAUUCUUCAAAUAGGUACUAAAACAUCACAUCAAGCCCAAAUUAAACCUUGACCCUGUAUAUGUUACAAUGGUCAAACAACUAUCACAAAUUUAUCACACCCAACUUUCUCCUUAUAUCAUAUAAGGCCACCCAUAAUCUACUUCACAUGGAUGAUAAACUCUACUCUAUUGUACAUAAAGUUUUAAGUAAUUUAAAAUAGAGAUCCACCAAAAAUCACUUAAAGCCAAUUAACUGAUAUGAGGAUUUAAUUCUGGCAUCAUGAAAUUUAGCAAAUAAAGAAGUCCUCCAAAUUUCCGGAUUUCCUAGAGUACUCUAAAAGGGAGGAUCUCAUGCCUCAAUCUAGUUUAUUUAAGCACCACAAGAGUACAUAAAUUGCACAAAUUUGUAGGGGAAAUGCUCCACCUUAACAUUUUGAGUUCAAAUUGCCAUGAGAAAAAUUAAUACUAGGAUUUGAUCUUAAACAAUUGCAGUGAAUGUGAAAUUCAACACCUAGCUAAAUGAUGACCUGGUCAUACAGUUCUAGGCAAAUUUUGAAACAAUCAAACGAAUGCAAGCUGCCUGAUGGCAAGAGGAAUAGAAGAAAAGUAUUUAGCACUUGAGCAUCCUUUGUUGGAAACCAGAAUAGUACAAGCUGUAAGGUUACUUGGAGAAUCAGAGUAUUAAGCAAUCGGACAUCUCUUAUUGAAAAUCUAAAUAGUAAAAGCUGCAGGAUAAGUAUGGUAUAUUUCGAGAUACAGAGCAACCAAAGAGUGAAUAUAAGUUUACCUGUUCAAGGAUACAGCCCUUCCGCAAAGCCGUUAGACAUUCCAAUGCUUUCUGAUAUGAAUCACCUUCACAGGAGUUCUCCACUAAUUCAAAGACUUUAUCUUUCAUACAUUGAAUAGCUUUGCUAACCCACUCUGGACUAUCUCUUCUAGACAUCAUUGCUUCAAAGUCUUGAACAGGAUUUGCAUCCCCAAUUUUCUCAGUUUUAAUUUUGCAUGGGUACUCUAUUGCAUCCAUUGGCUGGGCAUCAGAACCAUUACCUAAGACCUCUCUUUCGUCGUCCGAUCCAGAUGGUUUUUCUUUCAAUAACCUUCUAGUUGAUUUCUUCAGCUGCAGAACCAAUCAAGAGGACUCUGUAAAGAUGAACAGCUAGCAUAAUUGAAUUCAUGAAUAUAUAAUGACUCAUGAAAGACCUUUGGGUUCUCCUUGAGCUCAAAGCACCUUCGGAAGUCUUCAAUAACAGACUUGUUCUGGAAAAGGAUUUCAGGAUCAGGCUCCGUUAUUUUCUUGAGUGUCUCAUCAAGUGGAGGAACAGCUGCAUCUUUGUCCUUUGAUUUCAAUUCCAGAUAACGAUAAAACCGCUGCAAAUUCCAAGCGAACUCUGAAAAUUAGGGAAACAUCACCGAAACAAAGAAAACCACCAAACAGGAACAAUUUGAAUAGAGUAAUGCACAACACUUGGUAUCAGAAAUUAACUCCCAAGUAUAUUCCUUUGUUGAUGGUGAUGUAAUUCAUAUCUUGGGAUCUCAUUCCAAGCCAAACUUGUCCAACAUCAAUAUUCUGUACCAUAUAGCACAUCUUGGCAAAAAUCUCUUCAGAUGUUUCCAGUCACACAUCAUUCCUUAUACUUAGUCACUCAUCUAUAGCAUCUAUACGAAUCUAGUAUUUGAUGAGGCAUUUAAUUUGCCAGUCCCAAGAUCCUACAGAUGCAAGUUUACAAUCCAUUGUAAACUUUAACAGAAAAGGAAAAAAUGAACAAAAAAACUCUCCUUUUCUUUAUUUUCCCACUAACUAAAUAUGCUUACAAGGUAGGCAUAUAUAGGACAACCCUAUCAUAGUUCUGCCACCACUUAAGGUAAUAGAACCAUGAUUUUAGGGAUUACAUAAUCAACUCAUAUCCUAUCUAUUCAAACUUGAUUGAUCAUAAGCAAUAUAAUCCCAUAAUUAUGGGAGGUAAUUAUGGAAGAUAAUAUCUCCCAUAAUCAUAGGAGAUAAUAUCUUCGACACCCCCCCUCAAGUUGGUGCGUAUAUAUUUAUCAUGUCCAACUUGCUUGUAAGAAGUUCAAAAUUUGGUCUGAGGAGUCCUUUGGUGAGAAUGUCAGCUAUUUGCUGAGCUGAUGGAACGAAUGGCAUGCAGAUAAUUCCUCCUUCAAGUUUCUCUUUUAUGAAGUGGCGGUCAAUCUCAAUAUGUUUGGUUCUAUCAUGUUGCACAGGAUUAUGAGCUAUGCUAAUUGCCGCCUGGUUAUCACAAUAGAGCCUCAUUGGAAGUUCAAUAGGUCUUUUCAGCUCCUCUAAAACUCUCUUCAGCCAUAACAUCUCACACACACCAUGUGCCAUAGCUCGGUACUCUGCCUCUGCACUACUACGAGCUACAACACUUUGUUUCUUACUUCUCCAAGUAACCAAAUUGCCCCAUACAAAGGUACAAUACCCCGAGGUUGAUCUUCUAUCAAUGACUGAUCCUGCCCAAUCAGCAUCUGUAUAAGCUUCAAUGGUCUUUCGAUCUCCUCUUUUAAAGAACAAUCCCUUUCCUGGAGUACUUUUUAAGUACCUCAGAAUUCGAUAUACUGCAUCAAGGUGCUCUUCAUAUGGAGAAUGCAUAAACUGGCUCACAACACUCACUGAAAAAGCUAUAUCAGGACGAGUGUGAGCCAAGUAAAUUAGCUUGCCUACUAACUUUUGGUAUCGAGCAGUAUCAACUGGUGUUCCACCUUUUAUAUCUGCUAACUUGUGAUUCGGAUCCAUAGGAGUGUCUGCAGGUCGACAUCCACUCAUCCCUGUUUCCUUUAAAAGAUCCAAAACAUACUUGCGUUGGGACACAACAAUGCCCUUCUUGGACCGAGCUACCUCCAUCCCUAAGAAAUAUCGUAGUGUUCCCAAAUCUUUGAUUUCAAAGCUAGAAGCAAGACUUUUCUUCAGCCGUUCCAUCUCAAUUAAGUCAUCUCCUGUGAGGAUGAUAUCAUCCACAUACACAAUGAGUACUGCUAUCUUCCCGUCCUUGGAGUGUUUAACAAACAUGGUGUGAUCACUCUGAGCUUGGGUAUAGCCUUGAUUCUUUACCGACCUAGUAAAUUUUUCAAACCAGGCCCUAGGAGAUUGUUUGAGACCAUAUAACGAUUUUCUUAGCUUGCAAACUCUAGACUGAAACUUCCCUUCAAAUCCAGGGGGAGACUCCAUGUACACCUCUUCCUCCAGAUCACCAUUUAAAAAUGCAUUCUUGACAUCAAGUUGUUGGAGCGGCCAAUCAAGGUUUACUGCUAUUGAGAGAAGCACCCUAACAGUGUUUAAUUUUGCCACUGGAGCAAAAGUUUCAAGAUAAUCGAUCCCGUAGGUUUGAGUGAACCCUUUAGCCACCAAUCGAGCUUUGUACCGUUCCAAUGUCCCAUCGGAAUUAUACUUGAUGGUAAAGACCCAUUUACAUCCUACUGUCCUUUUCCCUUGUGGCAGAUUUGUUACUUCCCAUGUUUGAUUCUUCUCAAGAGCAUACAUCUCUUCUUCAAUAGCCUUUCUCCACUCUGGAACUUGUAAUGCUUCCUGUACAUUCUUUGGAAUUUCCACAGAAGAAAGUUGUGAAGUAAAUGUCAAGAAGGUAGGGGAUAACUUUUCAUAAGAGACAUAGUUAGUCAUAGGGUGUUUGGUACAAGAACGCACUCCCUUUCGAAGUGCAAUAGGAAGAUCCAAAUCAGCAAUCUUUGAAUCAGAGGAAACUUUAUCUAAUGACUCAAAAACAUUAAAUUCUGUCCUAGGUUCGGAUUCCUUGUCGUGAAGAGAAGGGGGAGCUUUAUCUUUUCCUCGAUGAUUUUUCCGGACAUAGGUUUUCAAGGUUUUUUCAGUUACAUUCCCAUCUCUUUCACUAAGAGAAUUCGACUCUGUUAUUGGCACUAAAGACAAGAGAUCCUCUUCUAAUCCCUGAUCAAUUUUUUCACGUUUUUCAAAAUCCUUUUGACGGGCAAAUUGAAGAGUGUCAUUUGUUUUUUCAGGAUUAUUAUCUUGAAAAGAUUCGUGUUGAGGAAAUUGUGCUGCAGAUUCUUCUAAAAAAUCAGAAAAAUCAAUUCUCCUAUCAACAAAAUUUUGAUCAGGAAUUUGAUUUUCAAUACGAAAAACAUCAUCAUCUUCUACAAGUUCUUCUACAUGCCGAGUCCCCCCCUGAAGAGGAUCUCCAAAGAAAGGUUUAUCUUCAAAAAAUGUUACAUCCAUGGUUACAAACAUUUUUUUCGAAAUGGGGUCAAAGCAUUUAUACCCCUUUUGCGUGGGUGCAUAUCCAACAAAAAUGCAUUUCCUUGCUCGAGGGUCUAACUUACUUCGACCUUGUUCAUGAUUGUGAACAAAGGAUAUGCACCCAAACACCUUUAAUGAGACUUCAUAUGUUAAUCGAGACAUGGGAUAAAUGGUUUUGAAAAAAUUCAGAGGAGUUUGGAAAUUCAAGGUUCUUGAGGGCAUUCUGUUUAUGAGAUAUGUAGCAGUUAAAAUUGCUUCGCCCCAUAGAUAUUUAGGAACAUUUCUUGAAAAAAGUAAUGCCCUCGCCACUUCUAAAAGAUGUUUAUUUUUUCUUUCAGCUACCCCAUUCUGUUGUGGGGUAUCAUUGCAGGAGCUUUGAUGCACAAUCCCUUUUUCAAGAAAAAAACUUCCCAAAAUUUUAUUGAAAUAUUCUUUUCCAUUGUCACUCCGAACAAUUUUGACUUUUUCUUGAAAUUGUGUCAAAACCAUGCUGUAGAAUUUUUGAAACACACUUGCAACCUCUGAUUUCUCUCUUAACAAAUACACCCAACAAACUCUUGUGUGAUCAUCGAUGAAUGUAACAAACCAUUUUUUUCCAGAUGAAGUUGAAAUUCUAGAGGGACCCCAAACAUCAGUAUGUAAUAGAAAAAACGGUUUUGAGGGCUGAUAAGGAUGUAUAGAAAAUGUAGACCGAUGAUGUUUAGCCAAUUCGCAGAUUUCACAUUGAAAAGAAGAUGAAUCUUUAUUCUUAAACAAAUCUGGAAAUAAGUAUUUCAUGUAAUAAAAACUAGGAUGUCCUAGUCUAAAGUGCCAUAACAUAAUCUCUUUAUUACUAGUAAUAGAGACAGACCCGUAACAUGUGUUUUUGAUUGGUGUUGUCAUAUCUGAUCCAUCUUCAAGGAAGUAAAGUCCCCCAUUUUCUCUAGCACAUCCAAUCAUCCUCCCCGUGGUCAGUUCCUGAAACUCACAAAAAGAGGGGAAAAAAUUAAUCCGACACAUGAGAUCCCUAGUUAAUUUACUUAUGGACAGCAAAUUGCAUGAUAACUUUGGAACAUGAAGAACUCUAUGAAGUGUUAGAGUAGGAGAGAUGACAACGGAACCUAUGCCAGCUAUGACGGAUAAUGAUCCGUCAGCAACCUUGACCCUUUUAUUGCCUGCACAUGGACUGUAGGUAGAAAAUAAUUGUGACACACUAGUCAUAUGGUCAGUGGCCCCAGAAUCAAUAACCCAUAUAACCCGUGGACAAGAUGCAUUUGAUGUUUUACAUGAAAGAGCAAUAGUAAAAGGUUUACCAUUUUUAGCAAAAGAACAGAAAGGAGUGAAGCUUUUUGGCUCAGUGACUGAAAAUUGUGGAGACUUAAAGAGUUUGUACAGUUGGCUUAAUUGUUCCUUUGUGAAGGCUGGUGUCUCAAAGUCAGUUUGUUGCUUUUGAGAAUCCUCAUUCACAGUCUGCAACACCUUGCUAUCACCUCCAUUUUUCUUCUUGAAAUUCGAUGGUUUCCCAUGUAAUUUCCAGCAUGUGUCCUUUGUGUGCCACGACUUUUUACAGUGUUCACACCAAGGCUUCCUUCUUUUAUCCCCGUCCAAAUCUGUCCCCUUAGAAACCAAUGCUGAAGUCUCAACUUCAUCCUCUGCCUUGGACUUUGGUGAUGACUUCAGCAUCACCUUACGCCUUGAUUCUUCUCUUCUGACUUCAGAAAAUACUUCACGAAUGGAGGGGAGAGGCUUCCUGCCCAAAAUACGACCUCGCACCUCAUCGAGUUCUUGAUUUAGUCCAGCCAAGAAGACAUAGACUCUGUCGUUCUCCUCCCGUUUCUUGUAUCGAACACUGUCUGCACGGCAGUCCCAUUCAUCCUCAUAACAAAGAUCCAAUUCCUGCCAUAAAGUUACCAUCUGAUUGUAAUAGGUUGUAACAUCUCUAUCUUCUUGUCUUGAUUUCCACAAUUUCGUCUUGAGAUUGAAAAUUUGAGACGAAUUCUCUAUAUCGGAAUACAUAUCCCGGACAGCGUCCCACACAUCCUUGGCUGUGGGCAGAAAUAAGUGUGGCUUUCCUAUUGCUGGUUCCAUAGAGUUUAUCAACCAAGCGAUAACUAGAGAGUUCUCUGAAUGCCAUCUCUUCAAAUUGGGAUCUUCAGCAGCUGGUUGUUGAAUUUCUCCAGUAAGGUGGCCGAGUUUACCUCUGCCAUCGAUAGCCAGCUUUACAGAUUGAGCCCAUUCCAGAUAAUUGGAACCAUUUAAUUUAUGAACGGUUAUUUGUAGGGAAGAAGAAUUUGAAGCGGAGUAAUCUGUAGUUUGGAUAACUACUGAAGACGAGGAUGAGUCUUCUCUUGUGUGAGCAGUCGAUCCAGUCAUGGCUGCUCGGUAGUUCAUGGCAGGAAUUGGUACAGAGCCGGAGCUCUGAUACCAUGUAAACUUUAACAGAAAAGGAAAAAAUGAACAAAAAAACUCUCCUUUUCUUUAUUUUCCCACUAACUAAAUAUGCUUACAAGGUAGGCAUAUAUAGGACAACCCUAUCAUAGUUCUGCCACCACUUAAGGUAAUAGAACCAUGAUUUUAGGGAUUACAUAAUCAACUCAUAUCCUAUCUAUUCAAACUUGAUUGAUCAUAAGCAAUAUAAUCCCAUAAUUAUGGGAGGUAAUUAUGGAAGAUAAUAUCUCCCAUAAUCAUAGGAGAUAAUAUCUUCGACAUCCAUAAAUGUACAUGUUUUCGUUGAUAAAUUAAAAUCAAUUUGCUACACAAUGUCCAGUUCUUUUUCCAGCAAAGAGAGGGCAUGGUCAGAAGGUAAUUGUAUUUUGUUUCCUCUGCUGAUGUGAGGGAGAAAAUUUUGUAUAGUGAUAGAAAAACUAAAUUACGCAUACAGAUAGCACUCCACAGGCAGCAUGACAUAAUUACCAGACAUAUAGAUGCUUCAGAACAUACACAAGUAAAGGAUAAAAAGUCUUUAAUGGGAUACUUCCGUAAUUCAUUACCUCCAGGAUAGGAUUUGGUGUGAAGUCGGGCUGCAAAAUUUCCUCUUUGCCAAGUGGUGCAAGAUCAAGCAUUCUAACCAAUCUAUCCGCUGCUUCCUGCUGUUGUUGGUUUGGCUGCAUUGACGAAGGUAAAUUGCUAAAAGAUGGAAACUGGAAUUCCCUAACAUCCUCAGCAAAAGGAAGAACGUUGAAGUAAAAUGAAUCAGGCUGCAGUUUGAAAAGUAUCAAAUCAGCAGGAGAAUGUGGAAUUACAAACCAAACAUAAAUUAUCUAAUUAAAGGGGAGGACUUACAAUAUUUUCAUUGUCUGAAACAUUAGGAGUUAAGACCCCCACAACGACAUUACCCUGUCCUUGUCUCCACACACACCGAACAAUUGCUACUUUCAUCAUUUCCUUCAUUGCCCUUGCUAGAGCAGAAACAGCAAGGAUGGCUUUUGCGUUGCCUGGUUCAGCAAUAAAUAUGUUGACAUCUUUCAUAUAAUAGUGUCUUCAAGAGCGUGAGGUUGGAGAGCACAUGUACACAUGCAAUUAUUCAAUCCAUUCAAUUAGGAAUAUACCAUAUAAGUCUAACUCAAAGAAUCUAGAAAUAAUUUGGCUAUUUUUGCAUGAUGUAUAAAUUUCUUACCGCAUUAUAUUUGAAGCAUUAGCAAAUCCUAGAAGCUUUACACUCUUAUCCGGUUUGAACUUCACAGCCUCCAACUCUGCUGAUGAUAUAGGAACAACUUGAGGACCAUACCGAUAACCUUUAAUCCUCUGUUCUGGUGGUACAACUCUAGUAGGAUCUUCAAUACUUUUAUAUUCAUAGUCAACCUUGACUUCAUGUGUGGCAAAUUUAUCCGUUGGUGGUGCUUUGUUAGAGUAUCUUUUCAAAGUGGGAAACUUUUCUUCAGAUGUCUUUUUGUAGACCCAAACCUGCAUGCAAAAUUAUAAGCAGCAAUAAAACAUUCCCUGAAGGCCGAUAAGAAAUAGUGGAUAACAUGUCAAAAAUACCCAGAAAAGAAUUCAAACCAAAUAUCAAGCACUCAAAUGGUUAUAGAUUUGCGCUAUAUUGCAUCAAAAUGGAGACACGUACUAUACAUAUAAGAAAAAUAGCAUAACUGCAAGAUUAACAGAAAGAAGAAAGAAAGAUGAACACAAUUCCAUUUCCAUUCCAUUUGCCUAUAUAAGAAAAUCUUCUAAUAGUGCACAGAAAGGCAAAACAGAAAUGGUUAGUGGUGAAUAAUAUCCCAAUCCACAAAGUCUUGUAGCCAUAACAAGCAUUAGAUACUUUUGCAAGGAAAAUCAACUUAUGCUAUUAAUAUGCCUAAGAAAAUUUUCGUCCACAUCAAGAUUACAUGUAGAAACACAUCGAAUACCAAAGUUUUUGACUGACACAUCACAUUAAGUUGCACACUGGCCACAAUUUCACAUUGCCAUUUCUGUUAAACAGCAUUGCCCCUAGCAGAGGAAUAACACAGAAAAUUAUUCCUUAUUAAAAAAUUACACUGAAUUGUGGCCAUUCGUGUCUCAAUCACAACAACGCCAUUAAUGGUGAUCAAGCAUUAAGCGGGAAAACAGAAAGCAACAUGAUAGGAGGAAAGAAAUAAAAUUAACUAAUUUCUUGGUACAAGUAUAAUGAUAUUCUUGUCAAACGCUGUCCCAAAUCACACUAUCUGUAAUAAAAGAUGUAAAGAAUUCAAGUGUACAAAAAUAAUUAUUCAUCAAGGAGAAAACAGAUCACGGAUAAACUUAUCCGCAAUGUUAAGUCAGGCAACAAUCUGUUCUCACCUUGAUGUUCAGCUUUGGGCUCAGUUCCAAGUCACCUCUGUAUAUUGUAACAGGAGAUAUAUUACGAGUUCUAAGUGCACCCAACAAUUUUGUCGGGCUUUCCACAUAUACUGUUUUUGAAGAUGAUUUAUUUGAAAACACCCUUAGCAGUAAAUCAUUCUCCUCCAUUAUUCUCUUAUUUGCUUCCAUAUUUUGUGUUAGCCUAGCAAUUACACAAUCCAUUUUCAUGCCCUGUGCCAUCAUCUGUGAAGCAAUGGUGCUCACUUGAUCUUCUUUUGUUCCUUCAUAUGGAUCUUUAAUGGGGUGAAGUGCAUUUGUGAUGAGACAAAGACGUUUUUUCCCCUUGUUAGUUGGUCCAAACUUUUUAAUCAGCAUAUCCAUUCCAACAACAAUAGCAUCAAGAACUAUCAAAAUGGUUAAGGCAGCAAGGAAUCAAGAGAUGACAACUCUUACUAAAAUACUGUCAUGGCCAUAUGGCUGUAAGUGAAAAGAAACACAAUAAUCUUCGAAGUUAAUAUAGUAACUGCUCGAUAGCUAUAGUAGUAAUUUUGAUGGGUGCUCCCGGUAAGAGUCACUCUCUCAAGAAGUCACAUUCUCCCUAAAAUUAGUCAAAACAUUACCAAGUUGAAAUUUUUUAUUAUUGUCUAGAUGCUCUGUUUCAAAUACCGAAAUGCUAUAUGGAAGAAGUGAAGCACAUUUCAAAGAACAUUAAUAAGUAAAUGAGAGGAUACAAUCACCAUCAACACUUUCUCGAGGAAGGUUUUGUAAAGCUUGAAGUAGAUCUCCAUCAACAACUUUUAUAUGGCGUAAAACCGUUAUAUGUUCAUAUCCACCAACUUCCUUUGUCAACUCGUUUUCAGUAGCUGAAGAACAUUAAACACAAUCAACCAACAAGGCCUUUGACAAAUUUAACAAACGGGUGAACAAAAACAGAUGAACUUUCAAAAACUUCAUUAUCAGACGUGGCACAAAGUCAUGUAAAACAAGCAACCAAAAAAAAUUGUGGGUGACACAUUAAAAACACUAAGACAAUAAUAGAUGAACAAGAAAACUCUGAAAUACCUUCAGUUCCAAAUAAUACAACUCCUACUUCAUCACUUUUGCUGUAAAUCAGCUGCAAAGUUGUAAACAGUAUCACUGCAAAAGCAAUUCUUGAAAAGGGACACUAUACACAACAAGCUACAGAGUUUCUACAUUGAAAAGAUUGAAAACCAUAAAAAAGAAAAAAAAUACCUUCUUCUCAAUUAGCAUAGAACAAACUUUUUCAAUUUGUGGAAGAAUAGCAUGCAUGGUUGGACCAACAUCAAGCACCAAGACCAAUGCUUCCUGUCAAAAUUUGGAAAGUUAACAAUCAUUAAACCAAAAAAAAAAAAGGUAUUAUAUCCAUGCACUAACAAGGAGAAGGACGCAAGUUUAAAAAUUCCAUGGUUCUAGAGCAUUUAGCUCAACCAUUUUCACCCAUAACCAAAUGAAAAACCAAAUGAAAAUUUGCCGUUCCUUUCACUUUCAUCAAGAUUAAGGGUAUAAACAACAUGAUGAAGUCAUGAAACAUAUUGGUUUAUAAAACUAACCGCAAUUACAAAUUUUGAUGUUUAAUCUUUCUCCUGGUAUUUUGUGUGUCAACCAAUCAGUAAAAUUCCACAUAUUUUUCUCUUAAUUUUCCGAAUCAAAAAUCAAUUUUAAGCUAAGAAUUAUUGCACUCCUCUAUAUUGUAUCUAAGUUUAGACUUAGCAAUAAAGUUUCAAUAUUGCUUCUUGUACAGGCAUCCUGAAAUUUUUAUCAAUUUAAGCUAAAAAAGAAAUUUUUAAAAAAAAAAUCACUUUUUUGACCACCCACAUUUUCAAUCAAAAGUUGUUCACUUUUUUCAUGUUUACAUUCUCCUCCUACAUCUUCUCUUUCAGAGGGGAUAAAAAAACCAGAUCAAACCCUGAUAGAAUUGAAUGGGAGAAUGCGAAAUCAAACUUAGCACUGACCUAUAUAUCCAUAUGGUUUUGCAACCCAAUCAGUUUAAGAAAGGAAACCAAGAUCCCAACAAAACCCCCAUUCCAUGGAUUUCUACGUCGAUUUUAUAGUAUACUUAAUGCAAUUCAUAUUGAAGCAUACUUAAGCUGCGUUAGACAAUCAGCAUACUCAAAGGACUAAAGCCUACAGCAGAAACAACUUGCCCGAAACGAAAUUAGAAAACCCAAAAAAAGAAAACCCACAUUUUCUAAUAUUACAAAGAUAAUAAAAAACUAGCUUAAUUCGUCACUGGUUUCUGAUGCAAGGAAGAGGAAUCCACUAAGAACUAAAUACAAAUUAAAACUUUCAAAUAAGAAAAAGCAAAGAAAAGACUGAUCAAGGGAAAUAAUAGAGCGAUAGUUACCUUGUUUCGAGCCAUUUCCAAAGUAAACAACACGUUCCAGUAGUAAUUUCCUUCUAAGUUAAUGGAUUUUAUUUUCGAACUUUUAGAAGUAGAACUCCACUGUUGGGGCACCACAGUAGUAGUUCAUCUUCGGUGCUUCUUUCUUCCUUUCUUUCUUCUCUUCCCGCGCCUGGUAAUAUAUGGUGUAUUCUUUUGGUAAAAUUACGAUUUUAUCCUUUUCUGCUCCACAGUCCAACAGUCCGUACCGCUUCAAAGCUUCCACUGGAAUCCUACCAGACCACAACUAAAUUGACAUUUUAUUUUAUUUUAUUUUUUAAAAAAAAAAGAGGAAAAAGGGAAGGAAGGGUUUUAAUCUACGACCUUUAAUUUCUCCAUUCUUGAAUUUUAAUCAUAAACUUCGUUUACUUCAAUUAAAAACUAAAAUUAACUUCAAGGAAAAGAAAAAAACUUCUCAACUCACCAUAAUUAAUUAACUCGAUACUAUUAGAAAAUUUUGUAUAGUAUAAUUUUUUAUUGUUCAGUUGCACUUUUACUAACCAUUGCUAGACUAUUUAGUCUACGAAUAUUUGGACUCUCAAAUUUCCUAAAAAAAAAAAAAGUCUAGAAAGACCCGUAAUUUAAUUAUUCCUUCCAACUUGAACUGACAUAUUAUCAAAAGUUGAAUAAUUGUAAAGAAAAGAAAAUUGCAUAAACUGCAUAAUUUGAUCUUAUCGUUUGUGUUUUAACCUCUCAAUUCAUUCAUCUCAUCUGAUUGACAUAUUGGAUUUUUUUUAAGUAAUAGUGCAGUUGACAUAUAUUUAACUUAAUACAUGAAUAUACAUAUUCACAAUUAUUGCACCUUACAUUUAGAUACUUUUUCAAUUAACUGUACUUGUACUUUUGUGAAGAUUAAUACCUCAAACUUCUCUUAAUGUGAAUUCAAGCACCCGUUAAUCAAAACCUAACUUUUUUUUUUAAACAAACAACAUGAGUUUCUUCAAAAAUUUUACCAAAAACAACGGAAUUGCGUAUGAAAAUAACAAGUUUACCGUUUAUUUUGACAUGACCUUUUUAGCCGAAGCAGCUUUUGAGCUUUGGGAAAUUUUGCGGCUUUUAAUUCAAAAUCUUCAAUUUUUUUUUUUGCUCUAACACCUCCUUUGAAUUUUUUUUUGCUGCAGGUGGGGUUCGAACCUCCGACAUACAGCUCAAAGAGAGAUUUAGUCUCAUUUAAUAACCCAAUUCAGUACUUAAAUUUAAUGGAUUCAGAUUUUAACAUAUUCAGACCAUUUGACAACAAAAAAAAUGAACAUCUGAAUUAAUUAAGUGACACUAAAUUUUCUAAACAAAAUUUGAUCAUCCCAAAAUUAAGUAAUAAGCUAUUCACUUAUCAUUGAAUGUGAUAUGCAUUCAAAUGUAUUAAAUUUAAUACUUAACAAUUUAAUAAUUUCAAAUUUCAGACUUCAAUUUCAAACUUCAAUCUUAUCAAACACAAACCUUAGUCCCUCUCCCAAAGCUCAGUGGUUUGCUUCUGGCAUUCUAAUCCCCAAUUUUCUAACUCAUGAAAGUUGUGUUGCGCAUUUUUUGGACGGUGUCGGGUACCGACCACCAACAAACACGGGAAAGUCCAACGUAUCUUUAGUUUAUGCUGCACACCCACGGGAUAGGACUCAGAAAGGACAGGACGUAGCGUAUAAAAAUUGGUAAUGCGAGGUGGGAAGGAAUCCAGGAGGAGUCCCCCACCACCCCAGAUCAGAAACAAGUCAACAACCUCCCCAUCCUCCAGAGGAAGAACCUGAGCGAGACAGAGAAAGACGACGAGAACUAGCCAGCAUCGUUAGCUUGCACUAAUGGCGGCGUCUAUGGCGACUCCGGGCAUCCACUGUGCCCACAACCCAAAAUACCAGAGUAGACGUUUAUAUGCUUUUUCCUCUUCCCGCAUCAUUAGAGCUGAGCAACUGCAGCCUCAGCCUCAGCCGCAGCCACAGAACCAGCAAGCGGGUCGCAGGUAGGUACCAUUACCAUAUACACCUCGAACAGCCUCCUCCACCCCCCUAUUGUCCUUAAUUCUUGUUUGCCGUCUUCAUCUUUCGUAAAAUUGACCAGAAAUGGAAACGUACUCGCAAUUUUUACAGGGAAAUAGUUCUCAGAAGCAGUGAAUUAGCAGUUCUUGGAGCCAUCUUUCACUUCAGGUUCUCCUAUUUUGAUGUUUACCAACACAGAUGAUGUUUAUUAAGCCCAUGCCAUACGUGCAUAAAAUUGUUGAAUGCUGAAAAUUGUUUUCUUUUCUAUAUGUUUCUGAUGCAGCGGAACAAAGCCAAACUAUUUGGGGAUACAGAAGAAUCCUCCUAGCCUGGCGCUUUGUCCAGCCACCAACAAUUGUGUGUCUACUUCUGAAAAUACCAGCGAUCUCACACACUAUGCGCCGCCUUGGUAUUUCUUCUCAUCUCCAUUUGUUCAUACAUCUUCUUCUUCUUUCUCCCGAAUUUAGGACGUUCGUAGUCAAAAAGUUCUGGUCGGUGGUGUUUGGAAAAACAAAUACGCACGUGUUCUUUUGGAGAGUCUGUACUGUAUGAACUUGUUUGUCAAAGAGGAGGAGCGAGCAGACAACACAAAAAAGUGAAAUUUGAUUGCGACAUGAAAGAAAGAAUACAUUUCUCAUUUCCAACGUGGGUCGUCAUUCUUUGUAGGAACUACAAUCCUGAAGAGGGGCGCGGAAGUAUGAACCCUGUGAGUAGGGAAGUGGCCAUGCAAGAGCUUCUUGAAGUGGUAGGGAACUGCUUCAAGUGAAGCUUGAGAUUGUAAGACAACCAACGAUGCUACCAUUCCAGUCUUUCUAUCAUCUGAUUCAGCGCUAACUCAUCUUGCAGAUAAAAUCAACAAAACCUGACAACUUCACUCCAAGAAUAGUGGAGCAGAAAGAUGAUUAUGUGCGCGUGGAAUAUGAAAGCCCUAUCAUGGGGGUACGUGUUCUCUGCAAUAAUUUACGCUACUGAUUUCUUACACACUACCCUCCUGCCAACCAAAAUCACAAAAUCCUAAAGAUCAAGAAUUUAUGCAUAUUCUCUGUUGCCAGUUUGUGGAUGAUGUCGAAUUUUGGUUCCCACCGGGCAAGAAAUCUCUUGUUCAGUAUAGAUCAGCAUCUCGUUUGGGAAAUUUUGACUUUGAUGUGAAUCGAAAAAGAAUUAAGGUAUGAGCCUCUCAUUACCGUAAGCUUAUCUGUAUUCAUGCAUCUUUAUGACGCAUUGCUCUCCUCCACCCCCACCCCCCUGCCGGGCCCCCAAAGAAGCUAAAGAUCUAUUAUUGACUAUUGAAACAGGCCUUGAGGUUGAAAUUAGAGAAGAAAGGAUGGGCAUCAGAAGUCAGCACUUGAGGAACUACACAGCAGAAAGAGAAAUAUUCAGCCUCUAAUGCUACAAGAUGACCAUCAACUUCAUCUAUCAGACCUGAAAUUCUUUCUGUACUGUGCCUUUCACUUGCUGAAGCUUGAUUAAGUUUAGUUUACCUUUUAGCCUUUUAGAAGAAAAAUCCAGGUCCUGUAGCUUCUUGGAGAAAAAUAAUGGUAACAUGUAAGCAUACUUUAUUGAGGUGAGGUAAUUUUAUCACACGCAACUGCAAUGAAAACAGAAUAGUUCCUUGAUGGGCUACAGCUACAUACAUUCUCAACAAUAAUACUAGUUGCCAUCGAGUAUGAGAACUACAAUUUAACUUGCUACAUAAUGGUUUUCUAGGUUGAAGAAUAUAUCAUUAGCACCCAAAUGCAGUAGCUUUGCAGUAAAUAAUUUCAAGUACAACAAAAGAAGAUUAAAAGGAAAACAGGGGACCAUUUCAACAGAAUGGUUAUGAGAAGGUGUUGGAAGUCAUGAUCGCAGCAUUCCCUCAUAAAGAAAAUAUUCAAAUUGUAUGGUCAGAAAGCCCAUAUGCGAUUACAAUCCAUGCAAAAACCAGAUUCU